ACAAAAGACAAAAAAUUUCGUAAAAUAUUUUACCGAAUCAGGCUCUGAAUACUAUCAAUAGCGCCAAGCUAUUGAUGUUAUUCGAUUUUCGGCCCUUUGAUGAAAAAAUAUACAGUUAGGAUGAUGUGGGCUCCUUAGGAUUGAGUGAGUUAUUGGUUAAAUAGUAUAAUCUAACAGAUGAAAAUAAUUAAAGGGUUAAAUCUAACGGUGAAAAAUUCGAUAGCACCAAGCGCUUGGUGCUAUCAAUAGUAUUCCAGCCGGACUCAUAUUUUUACCUACGCUGAUUUAACAGCUUCUUAUUCUUAUUAUUUUUGGCAAUUAUAGAUUAUUAUUUUUUAUAAAUUUUGUCCACCGUUCAUCUAAAACUCUUCCCAUCACACAUGAAAAAUAUUAUGAGGCUUAGUUUGGUAUUGAGGUGGAUCUGACAUUAUUAGAUAGAAUGAAAUUAAGAAAAAGAAUAUAGGGAUAUGCUUCUGCGUUCUCCAAUGGAACCGUAGAAAAUAUAUUAUAACCAACUAACCGCAAUAUGCGGAACGGAAUAUUACGUACGGAAACAAACAAGAUAUUUUUCCAUCAUCGUUUCUCACCGCACGUAUAACGCAAUCUCCCUGCAAUCUCAAAAAAAAGCCUAAGUGGAUACAGUGUUAUUGUCAUUACUUAACAUUAAAUCCAAAUCCAACCAAUCAGAGGGUUCACACUACGAUGUGGUGUCCCAACCUAAAGUAGUAACAUCGUGAUGUGGUUACUAUAAAUGCACACGAAAUUUUGCACCGCCCCACCUAAUUGGUAUCUAUUUUAUUAAGAAAAACCACUGAUUGGUAUUUAUGAAUUAAAAGUCAAUUGUGAGUUGGUAGUAACAAGUAGUAAAGCUGUAGAUAAUUUAUUUAAGGAAGAAUUCAAAUACCACUCAUGUAGUUUCGCACUUUCUUAUUUUAAUACUCAGCGAUUUAAUGUGUAUCAAUUUAGUAUCAUGUGGUUUUACACUUUUUUACUUUAAUACUCAGUGGUUUAAAGUGCAUCAAUUUAGUACUAUGUGGUUUCAUUUUUCUUUUUUCGUCGGCUCUUCUGUUAAUAUUUCGUUAAAUUAUAUACAAAAAACUUCAGAUAUCCUACCUAGGUUUAUCGAACGUUUACUUUAGUACCCUUUAGUUUUAAUUUUGUUACUGAUUUUUUUUUCCUCCGUUAAUAUUUUGUUAAAUUAUAUAAAAAAAGCUUUAGAUACCCUACCUAGGUUUAUCGAAUAUUCAUUUUAAUACCCUAUAAUUUUAACUUUGUCACUGAUUUAAUAAAAAAAAUUAGUAAAAUGGAUAAUAAAAAAAAAAAUGAAACCACAGGAUACUAAUUUGAUACAUUUUAAACCACAUGGUACUAAAGUGAGAAAGUGCGAAACCACAUAGGCUAACUUGAUACAUUUUGAACCACAGGGUACUAGAGUGAGAAAGUAUGAAACCACCGGGGGUAUUUAAAGUUUACCCUUUAUUUAAUUUUAAGAGGUUGGGAAGUAGAUUUAUAAAAAAUUUUGUGAAAAAUUAUUAGCAAGAUAAACUUCUCUUUUAUUUAGAAUUAAUUUUUUAAUUACUGUAAUUAAAAUUACUACUAAUUUGGGUGUAGUUUCAACCACAUCACUUGAAUUCAAAUAUAUCAAAUAAGCACUGAAUUUAGAUAAGUAAAUAAUUAUAAUUACAAUGUAAUCUAACUUCUAAAAUGUGUUUAUGACAUUAAAAAUGAUUGUGAAUAAAAUUUUAUAAAUAUUGGAUGCCGAUUUCUCACAAAUUAAAUAAUGACUAUCUCUCCUGUUAAUUAUUUAGUAAUUAGUUUUGGAGAACAGUGAUUUCUUAUAUAUUGACUUUUUAAAAUAUUAUAAAGAAAAAACUUCAAAAAUCUCCAUUGUGGUUUCACUUUUUCUCACUUUAGUACCAUGUGGUUUAAAAUGUAUCAAGUUAGUACUCUGUGGUUUUGCACUUUUUUACUUUAGUACUCUGUGGUUUAAAGUGUAUCAAGUUAGUACCCUGUGAUUUCACACUUUAUCACUUUAGUAUCCUGUGGUUUAAAAAAUAAAAUAAACCACAAAGUACUAACUUGAUACACUUUAAACCAUAGGGUACUAAUUUGAUACAAAAAUAAAAUCACACGGUAACUCUUGAUAGACAUAAAAUAAACCACAAAAUACUAACUUGAUACACUUUAAACCACAGGAUACUAAAGUGAUAAAGUGAGAACUAUAGGAUAUAACUUGAUACAUUUUAAACCACAUGGUACUAAAUAAAAAAGUGUGAAACCACAUGGAGUUUUUGAAGUUUUCUAUUUUUAAUAAAUUAUAUUUAUCGAAUUAAUUUAUGUUUUAAGAUAUUGAUAAUUAUACAUAAAAAAAAUUUGUUGCAAUCACGAGCCUAAGGACACAUCACGCUUGGACAAUCACAUAAAAAAUGCUAUUGACACAAAAUAAAAAAUCUAUUACUUAAUAUAUAUAUAUAUAUAUAUAUAUAUAAUUAUAUAUAUAUAUAUAAUAUAUAUAUUAUAUAUAUUUAUAAGGGAUUUUGAUUUAGUAUAUAAAAGAUCGAAAAAUUAUUAUCGUAUGAAAAUACCUUUUUAUUUGGUUUGGUUUAAUGUAAAAAUAUUUUUUUAUAAAUUUUUAUGGAUUUCAAAAAAUUGAAGUUUAUCUUUUUUCGCUAUUUAUUCAGCAAAAAAUAAAAACUCAAGCUAGAUAAAUUUUUUUAUUCAUUUUUCAUCAAUUAAAAUGAUAUAAUUUUUUUCUUCCAACUAAAUUAAUAUUGAUAAAAUACAAAUUUUUCUACAAAUCAAACAUUACAAAAUGCAAAAACUUUUUCUACCGAAAUUUUUUUCACGAAAAUUUAUUUUUCAAGAUUUUACACUGAAACAACAACGGACCCUAAGGGAUAUACAUACAAAGAUUAUAAAUUUGAACAAUAUUUUCUUUAAGAGCUUAUAUCAUUAAACUUUUUAAAUAUUAUAUAAUACACACCUAUAAAAUUAUACUUAAAAUUUAAAAUAUUAAUUGUUAAAAAAUAAGCACUGUGCAUAAAGCAACUUCGGCGUUGACAGCAACUGAGGAUGCAGAGAAAACGAGAGGGAAAAAAAAGAAAAGAAAAGAGAGAGAAAAAUAUUUUCUCUUUUUUUAAUGACGGAUUAGAAAAGAAAAGAAAAAUAAAAAAAAUGGCCAUUAAUCUUUUUUCUCUCCUAAAAUAAAAAGUUAUUUUUUAGAAAUAUGAGAGGAAAAAAAAGAAUAAAAAGUUAUUUUAUUUUCCUUAUUUUAAACAAUCAAUAAAAAAAAAAAAAGAUAAAUUUUAAAUACCACACCAUGGUUUCAUAUUUUCUCAGUUUAAUACCCUAUAGUUUAAACUAUAUUAAGUUAAUUAGUACCCCGUGAUUUUAUUUUUAUUUUUUUCGUCCACUGCUCCGUUAAUAUUUCGUUAAAUUAUAUACGAAAAACUUUAGGCUGCGUUUGAUUCGGGUAUAAGUAAGAAUUGCUUAUUCUAGAAAUAGGUACAAGUUCAGAUAUAAGCAGGAACUAGGCCAAUUUUGCGUUUGGAUGAAAAUUGGGUUGUUCUUAGGAAUAAGAUAAAUAGUGUUUGGAUGGUUAGAUUGGAACAAGAGAAAUAAGAGUUAUAAUUUGAAAUUAAAAUUAUAUUAUGUAAUUAAUAGUAAUAAAAAUAUUACUUAAAAAUAAAUAAGAAAUUAAUUAUUAAUAAUUAAUUAUAAAUAAUAAUUAUUAAUAAUAAUUAAUUAUAAAUAAUAAAUUAUUAAUAAGGAUUAUCUAAUUAAUAAUAAUAAUUAUUAUUAAUUAUUAAUAAAUAAUAAUAAUUAUUAAUUAUUAAUAAUUAAUUAUAAAUAAUAAAUUAAUAAUAAUAUCGAUUAUCUAAUUAUUAAGAAUAAAAAUUAUUAAUAAUUAAUAAUAAAUAAUAAUAAUUAUUAAUAAUUAUUAAUAAAAAAAUAAUAAAUAUUACUAAUUAUUAAUAUUUAAUUAUAAAUAAUAAAUUAUUUAAAUUAUUUAAUUAUUAAAGUAAUAAAUAAUGAUUUAAAUAUAUUAAUUAGAUUAAUUAAUAAUUUACUGUCAUUAAAAUUAAAUUUAGAUUUUAAUUAAUCUUGUUCUCAUCAAGGAACAAGCUUGUUCCAGGAAACGGGUGGAACAGUUCCAGCCUUAUACCAGCUAGUUCCAGAUUCCCGGGAGCCAAACAUUACGUUUGGGAACAAAGGGGGGAACAAGGGCUUAUUCCCCUCCUUGUUCCCGAACCAAACACUACCUUAGAUAUCUAAUCUAAAUUUAUCAAAUAUUCACUCUAGUAUUCUUUAAUUGUAAGUUUGUAAUUGAUUCAAUAAAAAAAAAUAGGGAAAUAAAUAAUAAAAAAAUAAAAUAAAAUUAUGUGAUAUUAAAUUGAUAUAUUUUAAAUUAUAUAAUAUUAAAGUGAGAAAUUACGUGAGAAAGUGUGAAACUGCUCGUGUGAUAUACGAAGUUUUUUCAAAAAUAUAAUGUACGGUGAAGUAUACCUGUACGGAUCAUGCUCAUCAACUUCCUCUCGUCCGUCCGAUCCCCUGCGUAUACCACUAUAAACGUGAAUCUCAUUCUCCGUCCAUUUCGUACGCAACUAUUCCGACGAGAAAUCUCAAGACCAUUCCCACUCCUCUCUCCUUAAUGGUCGAGAGCCUUGGCCAGUGGAUAAUCCAACCAAUCGAGUUACGACACGUAAUAUCUGCGCAGCUAGUUUUUUUUUUCUUCUUUUUUUUAAAAAUAAAGAAGAGACCAACAACGAAGCCCAAUCUCACUCCCACCACGCACGCUAUCUUCUUCUUCUUCUUCUUCUUGUUCUUCUCCGUCCUAAUUAGUAAUUAUACCCCCACUUUCUCAAUUUAUUUUUUAGCCCACGCAUUUCUCCGUUAAUUACGACUUUUGCCAUUGCGCGUGUGGAGGUAGGUGUUUAUCCCUUCGCGUGAUCUAUAAAAUCGGCUUCCCCGCGAAGCGCCUUUUCGGUGAAUCCCGAUCGAGCUCGACAAUCGACAUGGCCUCGUCCUCUUUCGCCGCCGCUUCGCACCUCCUCUACCCCGCCGCGCUCGUCGGCUCCUCCUUCGCCCCCCGCCGCGGCCGCCCCGCCGCGGCGGUCCCGGCGCUCCGCCGCUGCCGCCGCCGCGCCGCGCGCGCCUCCGCCGCGGCGGAGCUGAACGCCUCCGCGGGGGCGGCGGCGGCGGCGGUGGAGGGGGGGAGGGAGUUCGAUUUCAAGGGGUACAUGGUGGCGAGGGCGGCGGCGGUGAACCGCGCGCUGGACGCGGCGGUGCCGGUGGCGUACCCGGAGCGGGUGCACGAGGCGAUGCGGUACUCGCUCCUGGGCGGGGGGAAGCGCGUGCGCCCCGUGCUGUGCCUCGCGGCGUGCGAGCUCGUGGGGGGCCGGGAGCCCCUGGCGCUGCCCCCCGCGUGCGCCGUGGAGAUGAUCCACACCAUGUCGCUCAUCCACGACGACCUGCCCUGCAUGGACGACGACGACCUCCGCCGCGGCCAGCCCACCUGCCACGUCGUCUACGGCGAGCCCCUCGCCGUCCUCGCCGGCGACGCCCUCCUCGCCCUCGCCUUCCGCCACCUCGCCGACCCCUCCUCCUACCCCUCCGACGACCUGCACCCCCCCGCCCCUCGCCUCCUCCGCGCCGUCGCCGAGCUCGCCCGCUGCAUCGGCGCCGAGGGCCUCGUCGCCGGCCAGGCCGUCGACCUCGAGUCCACCGGCCUCGCCGACCCCGUUUCCCUCGACCGCCUCGAGUACAUCCACCUCCACAAGACCGCCAGCCUGCUCGAGGCCUCCGUCGUGCUCGGCGCCAUCGUCGGCGGCGGGUCCGACGACCAGGUCGAGCGCCUCCGCCGCUACGCCCGCUGCAUCGGCCUCCUCUUCCAGGUCGUCGACGACAUCCUCGACGUCACCAAGUCCUCCCAGGAGCUCGGCAAGACCGCCGGCAAGGACCUCGCCAGCGACAAGUCCACCUACCCCAAGCUCCUCGGCCUCGACAAGUCGCGGCAAUUCGCCGAGCAGCUUCUCUGCGAUGCCAAGGACCAGAUCGCGGCCUUCGAUCCCGCAAAGGCGGCGCCUUUGCUUCAUCUCGCCAACUACAUCGCUUACCGCCAGAAAUAGCUACGCAGAUUUCGAGUUCUUCGGUUGCCCAGGCACCAAAUUUGGGUACACAGUUUGAAAGGCUCAAUUCCUCUGCUAUAGUCAAUAGUUUUAAGUUGUGCUUUUGCUGCUGCUGCUGCUGCUGCUGCUGCUGCUGCUUAGAUGCAUGCUAAUUCAUGUCAUAGUAAAAUAUGUAGUUUAUCAGUUAUUGAAGCUUCUUCCUCUACGCGUGAGUUCGAUUCUACGCUCUAGGAAAGAGGAUCAGUAGUUUUUUAGUGUCGGAAUUCAUCUAGUGCGGAUAAUGUAAAGCUUAUCGGAGAUAACAUGAAGAUGUAUCGGGUUGACAUCGAUGCAUCUUCAUCUAGUCAUGAAUAAACAAUAUUUGCGGGUGAGCUUCUAAAAAAUUCCGUCUCCUUUCCGACUCUGUAGUGCCUGAGAAACCAUCCUUUCAAUGAAUUCUAAUCCUCUUUACUUAGAUGUGAUGCAAUUUAUAAAGCAUUUUCACUGGUGUCGGGUCUCAAUGUGCUCUGCUUGGAAACUCAUUCAUGGUUAGUGAGGGAAAAAUCAUGGGUGUGGAAAGAUGUAUGUUGGUUAUACUAUUUACUCAAUUUAUGGGAAUUUACACUUUGUUUUCUCUACAGAUGUAUACUGCUGCUAAACCAUAAACAUCUCUAUCGAAGAGCAAAUACUUUACCAUUAUUAGCUGAGACUUCGUAUCGGUCUGAAGUAUGUUUAUGAUAUGACAAAAAGAAAAAGAAGAAAAGGUAAUGUUUUCUCUGUAAUUCUCAUUGCGCAUUAUAUGGCUCUUCUAUCUUAACCAAAAUAUGUUAUAUAGCAGCAUUGAAACCCUUCUAGUGUCUCUUUUUGUUUUCCGCUUUACUAGAGGUGUGUUUAUAGUCUGUUAUGUGCGAUGAAAGCAGACGAUUUAAGCAGCUACAAGGUUAUGCCUUCUCUCUCAACUGAAGUAUGUUUUCUUUUCGAUAGAGUGUAUGACAGAACAGUUUAUUUCAAUAAGAAGCAUAUGAAAAGGUUUUAAUGUCGUGGAAAAGCUGUGUUGUUUGUGAAUUUUGUGUAUUUGGAAUCUCAGUUUAGUUCCCUUCAACCCCUAUGCUUUGUGCAUGAUGUGAACAACACAGGUACCUUUUUUUUUGCCUUCAAUGUGUUUGGUAUUACAUAUUGGGAGAAGUCCCUUGGUAUUAUUCUUGUACCUAAUCAUUUCUUAGGAAAAUGAUCUCUUCAUUGCAUCUAUAUAUAAUGAUUGACAAUAUAAUUACCAUUUAUGGAAAAAAACCGAAAUUCAAUUAUUUGUUUAUUUGAUGUGUAGUCUGGUUGGUCAACUCAGGACAUUCUGAAACAACAGCGACAAAUUUCGUAAAUGAUCUAGCCUUAGUAUGGACUUGAUAUUUAAGUUAACCUCAGAUAAAAAUUAGGACCAAAUCACACAGAAACAAAACAAAAAUAAUCCCAUUGACUUUCCUGAUGCAGUGGUGGAUCUGUUGGUGUAACAUAAGCUCACAGAAACAUUCGCCGAAAAAAGUAAAACUAUAGUAGUUAGAUAACAAUAAAUUUAAGGAUAUUUACAGGAAACACCUGUGUGAAAUUAGAUAGGACCUCAUGUCUCAUCUGUAUGUUGCAUGUCAAUUUCUUUCUACUCAUUUGAUGAUAUAGUUUUCAAUUGACUCCAUAUAAUGAGGUGAAUACUUUUUGUAAUGUUCUCAGAAAACUUGUGUAUUAGCUUAAAGGUCAGGGUAUUUGUGCUCAAGAAUAUUCCAUUAGCCAUCAGAUUAACUCUGCAGUUCUCUGCAUAUAUGGGAUCUUUCCUUAAAAGCAGAUGGUUUGAGUUAGUGACUUUCCAUUUAGUGACCGCAUACACGCAACAAUGCUGUGUUAAUUCUCUUUGUUCUUUUUUCUAUGAAAGGGUAAAUUGAACUCCGCGUAAGUUGUUGCAUUGGUCGCUGGAUUUUGAGAAAUUUCAUUUAUGUUGUCGAACUUCAGUUCGCGGUGAUGUGCUAGCUUCAAUUUUAGCUACAAUCAGUCAGUCCCUUAGUCAGAGUUAGUUCUUUAACUUUUCAGACAAAAGAUAUGGUGUUUUGUUCUUCUUUCUUUUCUUUCUUAUAUGGCUUAUAUUGCAGAUGCUAAUUUAGUCUUUUACUGUAGUUGACCAUCAUAACAUAGCUUUCAUAGGCAAUGCUAUACUACUGAACUAAUGCAAUGGAUGAGUAAUGAAGUGUUUGAUUUUGCCUAUGAAAUCUGAAUUUGUUAGUUUCAAAUCGAUGUCAUAGUAUGAGAAAAACUAAAUAUUUGCAAGAGCUUCUAUUUAAAUUUUCUCAUGUGUUGUGUGCGUCGUUUUAACCCUGAAAACAGGUUUUGCAUCAACAUCAUCCCUGGGCAGUAGUUGUUAUCUCCCUUUCUCAGGUUUAAAGAGUGGCAUUUAUUAGAGUAAGGAUAUUCAAUUAAAACCAUGCUCACAUCACAGGGCUUUUUUUUUUUGGCCAAUUUGCAUAAAAAAUCCACUUAUUUUGGGGUUUUGCAAAACCGGGCCACCUUUUUCCUUUUUGCAGAUUCGGUCCGCUUUUUCCGCCGCCUGACCAAAAUGCCCCUCCUAUACAAUAGCCUCCCGCGUAUUUCUUGACAUACGUAUACUACCCUGCCGUACGUUCUGGCGCGCAUUAAAUGNCGGCGGAGAAGGAGGAGGCGACGGCGGCGGAGGAGAAGGAGGAGGCCACGGCGGCGGAGGAGAAGGAGGAGGCCACGGCGGCGGAGGACAAGGAGGAGGCGACUGCGGCUGCGGAGAAGGAGGAGGCGAAGGCGCCAGCCGUAAAGGAGGAGGCGAAGGGGGCGGAGGAGAAGGAGGAGGCCAAGGCGGCGGAUGAGGCUGCGAAGGAGGCAGCCGCGAAGGUACAGGUGGUGGCGGCGGCACCGACUUCGGCAGCUGCGGCGGAGGCGGUGGACAGUAAAACGACUCGCGUAACUAAAAGUGUAAGUUGAUAUUACAUCGAUACUUUUGGAAUAGUGCAAUAUAUUGCUAUUCGUGUAAUAUAACCCUCUUUGUUGCACUACAUUAUAUUCUUUGUACAGGACAUUGAAAAAAAGGAGAAGUCUCGCCCGAAAAGACGCUUGGUGCGUCUGUCGACGGCGACUAAAGAGUCUACACAAACUUCGAAGUCUUUCAUGCAAAAACACAGCAUUACAGAGGUGUGUGAAUAUUUCAACGAUGCAUUUCAUUAAUGCGAUACACCUUAUAAUAGUGUAAGUCCUUCCUGCAAUGGUGUAAGAAUUUCCUGCAAUGGUGUAAUUACGAUCUCAUUCUUUCAUUGUUUGGUAACAGCACCCAAUAAUCGUCGACAUCCCCCCCUCCUCGGAUGAUACAUCAAGAUUAAAAAAGGGAAAAACACUAAAAUUGAAGGUCACAAGAUCCUCACCGCCCCUGGAAUUAAAGUACUACGGCAAGGGUGAGUUACCGAAGGAGGAUCAGGAGCGAAUUGAAAAAUUCCUGACAAGCACCACCCCCUCCGCAUUAGUACUGCCUUCGAAAGAUAUUGACAUCGGGAGGAAGGACUUGGUUGACCUAACAAGUCACAUGGCCUUCGUCAGCUCCGAUGUUAUUAACGCCUACCAGAAUUUACUCAAGGAGGCGGAAGGGGACAAGUGCAUAUACACGACGUCAUUCCUUUAUCAGACCCUAGGGACUGCAAUGAGCCCCGAGAUGUUUUUGGUCGACAUCACCGAGGAGAGGAUCAAUGAGGCGAAAUACUGGUUCAUCCCGCUCUUCGACUUCGAACACUGGCAUUUGCUGGCUGUUGAUCUCCAAGGCGGGAAGUACCUCCACUUAUCAUCCAUUAAAAACCCUAAAUACAACGCGGGGUUUGAAAAAGCAGUAAGUGUUACCUAAUGCAUAGAAAUUGUACCAGCAUUACCCGAUUAUAUUUUUAAUUAGUGCAAUGUUUCCUUAUGCAGUGUAAAUUCAUAGGAAAUUAUUUACAAGAACAUUUUUCUGAUUUGUUUGGGCGCCGCGGUACCCGUCCCGUCGACUGGGAGAUGAUCAAUCUGGAAGAUAUCCCCAUGCAAGAUCAGUCAAAUGACUGCGCAAUCUUCCUGUUAGCAUACGAGGAAUACUUGCAGAAGGGGAGGAAUUUGGACUUCUGCCAGGAGGAUAUGACGAGGAGACGCGGCGAGAUAGCAGCAGAAUUCUUGCGUCUUUUUGACACGUAAUAAUUCGACGCUGGUUCGAGUUACAAUUCUUUCAUAUGUACGAUCAUUUUUUUCACAGUAUGACGAAUUGGUGUACAUAUUGUAAUUCUCAUUACCUUUGCUAUAAAUAUAUGGGUAGGAAUUUACUUGUAAUGUUUGUCGUUACACUAUUUAGUAGAAUGUUGAACUAUUAUCCGUCCAUGCUUCAAGGUGUUUGCACUGGUGCGAACUAUUGUUGCACGCUUAGAUAGCAGUUACAUGAUAUCAGCUGGCAUUUCUCUUCUCGUUGCACUAUUAUCUCAGACUUGUUUGGUUUCACAUAUUUCGGAAAAGUAAUACCCGAACAGCAAACAUCGGGGCUGGCGAAUACUAAACAAAAUGCAAAAAAAGUGCAAUACUAAAGAGAUAUUACAGUAACGUUCGUCAUAACGGUGCAACGAUAGGCUGUAAUAAUAGUGCAACGCCAGGGAACAAAAUGGAAUAAAACUUUCAUAAUCGCAAUAUAUUACAGUAACAUUCGGCAAUGAUAGGCUGUAAUAAUAGUGCAACGCCAGGGAACAAAAUGCAAAAAAAAGUGCAAUACUGGCGAUAUAUUAGAGUAACAUUCGCCAUAACAGUGCAACGCCUUUACGCGCAUUGAAACUGAAGAAGCCAUAUUUAAACAACUCGCUUUUAACUUUCCCGAGGCAACUUCGAUAUAACCGCCGGUGUCUCCUAUCCUGACAGAAUAGACCCUAUGACGUAGACGUUACGCUACGUACUUUUAGAAGCAUUAAAUGCUCGCUGCGGUCGGAGCGCAUAUCCACGCUAUUCGCCAGAACGUGUGUUUGCUGUUCCAUGAACCCAUUGCACUAUUAGUAUUACAUAGUUGCACAUUUAUGAACCUAGUUGUACUAUUUUACCGGACGUUGCACUAUUACAUGACUUGCGAACCCAUUUCUUUUCUUCUUUCUGAUAUCAUUGAACUAUUAUGUCGACCACAUUGCACCAUUGCAAUCAUCGUUGUGGUCUUUCACCCUACAUUGCACUAAUAAUCGCCGUGCGCGUGGCACCCUUAAUCCCCUCGCUUUUGAAUGCUAGUGGAAGGCACGAUGAGUGACGUGUAAGGUAUAUUCGGUUAAGUGAGGAAGAGAUGCACUGGCGGGUUUGUCAGCCCACGAUUCGUUUUUUUAAAUAUCGGUUCUUCAGAUGCUUCUCCCUUUACGGAAACACAACCUUUGAUGAAGGAGGUGAAUCGACAACGGCGUUCCCUGCAAGAGGAAACGCAGCGCCGAAGUACGAGAUGGAGCCUCCUCCUACACUGCCGCGGCUCUUCCUCCUGCCGGGAACGCCGUUCCUCGCCUUCGCAUCCUUGACCAAUAGUUACUAGGCUACAGUUCAUCCAUGACGUUAAGGCAACGACGGUAGAUGGCUGAAGCAGAGUUCGCGGAGUAGGCGGCUCGCUGCGAAGGGAGCCGAAGCAGAGUUCGUGGAGUAGGCGGCUCGCUCCGAAGAGUACCAUCCAGCAAUGAGGCGUUAAGAUUGAUUCGUGCUAUCUGGAGUGCGUUAUUUGCCACGAGCCCAUUGGCCCUCCUCUCAUACAGGUUCUUAAAUUCUUACAGAUCUUUAUUGUUAUUGAUGGAUUCUUAUGUUAUGCUGAUUGAACUGUCUGUUUCAUGGUAGAGCGGAGCUCCAAAGGGCUUGAGGCAAAUAAAGCACUCCAGAUAGUGCAAAUCAAUCUUAAGGCCUCGUUGCUGGAUCUACACUUCCGAACGACCCUCCUCCUACUCGCAGUCUCCUUCGGCAGUCUCCUUCUCGCAGUCUCCUCCUCCUCGCAGUCUCCUCCUCGCGGUCUUCUCCUCGCAGUCUCCUCCUCGCGGUCUUCUCCUCGCAGUCUUCUACUUGCAAUCUCCUCCUCGCAGUCUCCUGCGGAAGUCUCCCCUGGCCUAUACAUGUUAUCUUAGGCUAUGUGCGCGUGGAAUUGCAGACAAGCUUCGAUGAUUAGAUAUUUCUGUAACAUAAUUUUUAUUAUGCUCAAUUUGUUAUUGUUGAAGUAAUAGAAUUUUUCAUUGUAGGCAAAUCCUUUUUGUAUUGUGUAAAUUUGUAUAAAAUCGUGUACUCGGAUUUAAGGAAGAAAAUAUAAUUCUUGUUCACAAAUUAAUGUACUGCUUAGGAAUUUGUUGCAAUAUUUACCAGUUACAAUAUUUUUCAUAAAAUGUUGCACUGUUUACAUCAUAGAAUAAUAUAAAUUUCGACCUUUUUGCACUAUUUUGUUCAUGUUAACGCCAAAUCUUUGAAAAUUUCGUACUAGGUAUCAUCUGUUACACGCUUUAGCAGAGAUUCUUAAACUCUUUUGAUCUGUGUUACAAUACUUAAAACCUUCCGGAAAGUAAAUUGUAAUACCACCGACAUGGCGAUGCACCAUCAUUACACCAAGUAUCAACGUCUCCAACGAACACUUACAAGCUUAGUACGAGUCUUUUCAAAAUAUUGCACUGGUUUACAACCUUAUUGCACUUUCGUUGCACAUGUUUUUAAAUCGAUUGCACUAUUAUUUAUACCUUAUUGCACUCUUAAAAGCAUCUUUGCACUCUUUUAAAAAUAUUGUUCUGUUUUUCAUUCUGUCUUGCACUAUUAUUGGCGUUCAUCUGUGAACCUAUUCAUGCGUUAUAAGAACGCUGAUCUUUCGUAAGAACAGUUUGCACAAUCGUUUAGCCGCUAUGUCACGCCUCUCGAAAAGCGUCCUGCGCCGGCGACCUUCCAGCCCCGCCGCCGAGCUUCCUGGCCUGCCGACUCUUAUGUCGCACAUCGCCGACCUUCGAACCCCGCAGCCAACGUCCUGCGCCGCCGACACUUCGUCUUCAUUUGGAGGGGUAGCCGUUAAUUUGCAGUACUAUGUUGAGAUUAUAUUAAGGAAUAGAGAAAGUAAAAUUUUGACUGAUUUUGGAGAGGUUGCACUGGUGCGACCUAGCGAUGCACUGUUAUAAUGGCAGUUGCACCAUUUUUUCGGACGUUUCACUUUGCGUUGCACUAUUAUCCCUGCUCGGGCCUUGCAUAUUUUCUCAUUUAUCGUGAGUUAUUGUAUUAAAGAAUUAAAGCCAAACAGGAAACAGCGGGGCCGGCGAAUAGCGGGGGCGGAUGUUGUCCGGGUUCCGAGAAAUGACUGAGAUUGAACGGGUCAUUUAAUGCGCGCCAGAACGUACGGCAGGGUAGUAUACGUAUGUCAAGAAAUACGCGGGAGGCUAUUAUAUAGGAGGGGCAUUUUGGUCGGGCGGCGAAAAAAGCGGACCGAAUCUGCAAAAAGGAAAAAGGUGGCCCGGUUUUGCAAAACCCCAAAAUAAGUGGAUUUUUUAUGCAAAUUGGCCUUUUUUUUUCUUUAUAUUUAUGGCAUUUUUGGUGGGCGAAAAAUGAAGCAUCGGAAAUAGUGCUCUUAGAAAGUAAUAUUUUAUUAAUUGUUUGAUUUAUAAAAGUGAAUAUAAAUAAUAGUUAUUUUACAAAAAUGGCUUAGUAGAAUGACUUAUAGGUGUCUAUUUCUAUUCAAUUAAAACCAUGCUCACAUCACAGGGCUUUUCUUUUUUCUUUUUUCUUAUGGCAUGUUUGGCGGGCGGAAAAUGAAGCAUCGAAAAUAGUGCUAUCAGAAAGUAACAUUUUAUUAAUUGUUUGAUUUAUAAAAGUGAAUAUAGUAGUUAUUUUACAAAAGUGGCUUAGUAAAAUGAGUUAUAGGGAUCCAUUUCCGAAUGGCCUAUAGUAGAAGGCACCUCCAUACAUUUUUACCCUUUCUAGCCCUACAUUUUUUUUUUAUUUGGUUGUAAUCUUUAAGCCACCGUUUGGUUGGGGGUUAAGGGGUGGAAUAACCCCUUAACCCCCAAUUUAUACCCAAACACCACUCUUUUGGGGUGGGGUUAGUAAACCCCACCCCAAACCGGGUUAGGGGGUUUACUAACCUCACUCCCCCUCCCAACUUUAACCCCGCACGCAUCCCGAGCUCUCACAUUUUUUUUCUUUAUCAAUCAUUAAACCCACUCCCCCUCCCAACUUUAACCCCGCACGCAUCCCGAGCUCUCACAUUUUUCUUCUUUAUCAAUCAUUAUCUUUUUAUCCCACCUAUUCCAACCAAACACUUUUUUUCACUAUCCUAUACUAACUCCAACCUCCAACCAAACACAAAAAAAUUUUAACACCAUUUUAACCCUGAACUUAACCCUAUCCCUGGAAUAGCUACUUUUUCUUAACCCCGAACCAAACGGGGGCUAAGACUACAACACAUCAAUAUUUAGUCAACCGAAUUAGAGUGUGAUACUUUGAUUAUAAUAAUUUAUAAAAUGUUUCGGGCCUCAUAGUUUGAGGACCAAAAAUGUAAUUUAGCCGAAAAGAUAAUAGAGAAUAAUAUUAUGUUCAUUUGGAAAGAGAUAAAUUUAGAAUCAUCAGAAUGGUAGAAAUUUAUAAUAAUUUUUUCUUUUUUAUGUCAUAAUUUAAACUAUUUUUUUUUUUUUGGAGGAAUAGGUAGUGCGCUACCUACUUCAUUCAUUGAAAGAGUGAACUAAGUUACAGAGGUGAGGCAACAUGGGCCUCGAAAGCAAAAAAAAGAAAAAAAGAAAAAAAAAACCUAGCGAUUACAGCAGUGCAAAUUUAAUAACAGAUAGUGCUUCCAUUGGUCCAUCAACAGUUUAAUCUUAUUUAUACUCAGUAAUGAGUCUGAAUUGACCGAUCUAAAGAUUGUAUCAUUUUUAGCUUCUCAGAUGAUCCACCAAUAAAUUAUUAAAUCGGUUGGUCCCGAAAAAGGGGAUAAAAUAGUUUGGUUACACAUUUGGCUUGACGCUGAAAAGCCAAAUAUUUCAAAAGAUGUUGUGGAUGUCUUGUGCAAGACGGCAUGGUUGGAGGCGCGGAGGAUAUUAUCAAGGGUCGUUGGAUUGGACUUGACACGAUUGACGCGCAUGCGAAAAAAGUACAGAACGAAAGGAUAAAUGAUCUGAUUAAAAAAAUAAAAUGAAGUUGAGUAACAAAAUAGAAAGUAGGAUAAAAAUUAAGCCAAAAAUUAAAAUAAAAUAAUUUAUUAGUAUAACAGUUCCGUGCAGAGUACGGGGUCCUCCUUAGUCGUGUAAAAAUUUGCCUUAAUUUUCUCACAUUAAUUUAGCCCUGUGCAGGAGUGUCAACGAGCCGAACACGAGCGAAUAAAUAAGCCGAAUACGAGCUAGCUUGUUAAAGUACGAGUCGACAAAUUCAGAUCGUAUUCGGCUUAUUAAUAAACGAGCUGAACACAAACUGUCUCACUAGUUGGCCAACGAAUAAUUAGUUAAAUAAAUUGCAUUUGACAUAUAUAAAAAAUAAAUUCAUAAAAUUUUACCCAUCAGACUUUGAUCUAAUAAUUGAAAUUUUAUAUAUAAAUGAGUCCGUUUAUAAUUGAGCUUAGGAUUUUUUUUUGGCUAAAAAUCAAAUAAUAAAAAUAUAUAUUAUAUAUAAUUAUUUAUUUAUAUAUAAAAAUAUUAAAUAAAUUAUAUAAAUAUAAAAUAUAUGUAUUCGAGCUGUUUUCAAGCCGAACAUGAAUAAGCUGAUCCCACCUCGUGUUCGGCUCGUUUACUAAACAAGCUGAAAAAUCCAACUUGUGUUCGACUCGUUUAUUAAACGAGCGAUUCGAUCUCGAACUCAUUUUAAGCGGAACACGAGCUGGCUGGCAAACAACCAGCUGGAUUGCCAUCCCUAGCCACGUGCGACCCUAAUUUGUAAAAAAUAAAUUAAACUUUAUUUAGAUUUCAAACCAAGUGAUUAGAUCAACCCCCCACUAAUUAAAAGUACAAUAAGUAGUUCUAUUUAGUACUUAAUUAACCACUUGUCCCCUUCAUUGAGGAAAUUAUUGCCCUGAACCCGGUGUAUACAUACACUUCAUGCACUGCACCUAUAUUUUCUAAAAAAUAUAUAUAUAAAAAGAAUGUAUUUUAAAAAUUUAUUACUGAGUUGUCAAAGAGCUAAGAAAAUUAAUGAGAAAAAGAAUGUUCAUGUUUGAUAUAUAAAUAAGCUAAGUGUUAUAGAACAUAUCUAAUUAGUUAAAUUUUUAUUUUGAGACCUCUAAAUAGUAUAGUAACGGUGAGGUGUAUGAGAUACACUUAAACACCCGGUGCACGGUAUAAUACUAAGACUAAUUAAAUUGCUAAUUAAGUAUUAGUGGGAACGCUCGAGGAGGGACCCCUCCUCAACCAAUUGCGAGUCCCCACGUGCCCAUCCCAUUAAUUAAUUAACUGAUACUAAAUUUGGGGUGUUACGAGAAAAUGGGCCCCACCCGUGCGUGCGUGGCCCCCGCCUCCCACGUGCGAGACGAGGAAGCAACUCGCUCCACAAUCCAAGAAGAGGAGAGCAAAAAUUACGUAAAUUUUAGAUAAAAACUUUUAGAAUUUAACGAACUAUAAAUCAAUUUGCAUCAAUUAUGUAACCAUUUAAAAUUUUUAUUUAACAAUCUAAUUUUUUGAAUUUGUUUGAUUUUAGAUAAUUAUCAGUACUUUGACGUUAAAAUUUGAAUGCAUUAUUUAUUUUUACAGAUUUAUUUAAUAUAUUUUAAAUAAUUUUUAUAAUUAUAAAUUUAUUAAAAAUAGUAAUCCAUUUAAAUUUUAAAAGGUUGGAAAGUCGGUACAAAAUGACCUACAGUUUAUAUAAGUUUAUAUAUUUUUACCCAAAUUUUAAAAUAGUAAUAAACUGUUGAAUAAGUUUUUUUUUUUUUAUACAUAUAUGUAUUUUUAAAAUACUGAUGGAGAUUAAUAUUGUCAAAGCUAUUUUUAAUGUUGUUAGAGCAAAAAUAUCUAAAUUAUUCCUUCGAUACAAUGUAUCUACUUCAGCAAUAUCAAAACUAUCUCUCGUAAUAUCAAUUCUCUUACUAAAAGCCUAUUUAUUAUUUGUUUGUAAGUGAUUUUCAUAUUGAAAAUAACUUUCAGUUAAACUGACGUUUAAGUGAAAAAUAUUUUUAUUACUGUUUGUUUGAUAGGAAGUUAAUAAUUUGUAAUUAUAGUUAUCCUACUUUUUUUUAAAAAAUUACUUUAUUAAAAUUUUUACACUAACAUAUAAAAAGGUGAAAAAUACUCAAACUAAUUAAUAUUUAUUAUUAAUUUCUAUUCCUUUCUUUCUCGUAAUUGAGUUUGCCACCAUCAAGGAAGAAGUCAGUUAUAAUGUAUACUGGAAAUAAAUAUUUACAACUAAAAACUUUAAAUAAAUCUCUUUAUUUUUGACGAAACAUAUGCAUGCCUUAAUAAUUUAGUGAGUAGUUAUUUGAAUAUCUAUAUAAAUAUAUAAUUUGAUGGUUAUGACGAUACGUGUGGCAGAAUUUCAUGGCCGAAUUUUAUGCCUCCACAUCCACAACCUAUUUUUUCAUUAUGUACUGUAUUAGUCUCCUCUUUUUAAAUCUUUUUUACUUUCUCCCUAUCUCUCUCUUUCCUCCCUAUGCUCAUCGGCCAUAAAGUUAGGGUUGAGAUCCGUAGAAGUUUAAAUUGCGCGCUCGUACCUUUGACUUCGGAUUAACAUAUGUAGAUACUAGGAAAAAAUUUUGAGUACUAACAUGUAUUAAAUAAACAUUACUGCAUGUAUUUUCAAUUUUUUAAUUAGGUUCCUAAUUUCUAGAGAUUGUCGAUUGAGUUUUUAAUCUCUGUAAGUUAUUAUAGUUUGGUUCUUGCUGUCCAUAAUUCAACAGUUUGAAAGAAGAUGACGAAGGAGAUGAGGUAGAAAAAAAAAAGAAGAUUAUCAAACCGCUUUUAACUUUCUGUAAAACGGCGGAGUUAAAGACAGAAGUUCUGUUCGCUUGUGGAAGAUCAGAGUUUCUUGAAAAUUAAAAUUUUUGUAUAAUUAGUUUUGAAAUAAAAGCUGCUGGUAAUGAAUAACCGUCUGAAAAGGAGUUGGCAUGGAGAGGAGGGCUGUGCUCCAUCUCUACAUGGAGGAGCCAAAGAUGGUUGACCAUCUCUUUGUGGCCGGUUCCGAAAAAUUACUAGACUUUUCUUGGAGGGUCUUUUAUCGAAUAAAAUGCUUUUAUUUAAUUGCAUGUUAGCUGAUCGACUUUGAAAAGUGAGCAGACUCAAAGGUGGUGCCUCAGAGGAACGGGAGUUAGCACUAAUUACCGCUUCAUGAUGGGUGAUUUAGUUAGAGCGGAAUAGAAGAAUUUUUGAGAAAAAAACAGCUCACUAUGAGAUUCUUACUGUAUUAAAUAGUUUUUUUUUUUUUAUUACCUUAAUUUAUUUUCUAAAUGGAUGGAACGGUAGUAUACUAUAUUUUUUCUAAAAAAGAAAAAAAAAUACGAGAAGAAGAAGAUGAUGAUAACAAUGACGACCACCAUGAUGAUGAGUAAGAAGAUAAGAAUAAGAAGAAAAAUAUAUAUAUAUUAGUCAAAGAUGUUUGUAAAGAGCAGAGGAUUUUUUUUUCCUCAAAAUUUAAGCCAAUUUGUUAGUAGUUAUGUGUCCAUCUCUGUCGAAAAUGAUAAGAGUUUUGCACAAUGUUAUAUUUUUAUAUUUCACAAGAACAUAAAAAUAAAUAUAUUUUUAAACACUAUUUAUUUUUUAAACAUAAAAGUUUCAAAUUGCCAUUAAAUUAUUUACCAUCUCUCGUGACACCAAUAGGAUUCCACAUGCCAUAACUAUUUAAAUAGAAGGCUUUGUUUCCGAAAAGCCAUUGACUUUGUGCCAGAGCUAUUUUUCAAGCUGGUCCAGAAUUUGUAUUUUGAUAUUUUUAGAGGGUUUAAAAACUUUGAAAUUAUUUAAAAACUUUUUGUGUUUUUAAAAUGUCGAUUUCUAUACUUUCUUAUAGGAUCAAAGGGAAGAGAGAGUCAACAGUGUAGCCGCUACACCACAUUAUUUAUAUUCUGCCAAUCACACACUUUUUUAGAAAAAAUAUAUAAUAAAAAUAUUUUUCUAAAAAUUAUAAUCAGAUGGGUGAACACCAGAAAACAAGACACUGUAUCACCUCAUAUAACUGUCACAUUUUAAACUUAUUUUUCAAAAAAAAAAACUAAAGAUCGAAAGUGCUCUCGUAGUUUGUGAGAUAGUGAAGCUCCAAAUUAACAAGAUUUUAUCCAAGUGUUAGACCAAAUAAUGAGAUAAAUAUAUAACAUUAUAGUUUACACAAUAGUCCAUGCCAAAAUUUUGAACUAAGACCAGAUAAAAAUUUCCUAGUGAGUCGAUCAGCAAAAGGAGUAUUAUUAUUGUUCUUAAAACUAAUUUCAGACUAUAUUCUACUUAUCUGAUCAAUCUUUUGAAUAAUAUGAUAUCACUCAGCUCAAAGAGGCUCUGCAUUUGUUGUAUAUUCAUUUUGUUAUCUCUUCCGUUACUUCCUACAUACACACUGUAAGUGCACAAUUAAUCAUCUAAUAUUUAUCAUGCAAUCAAACAGAGGUACUAAGAUUAAUUCUCGAUCAUCUUCUAGGAGAUCAAUUUUGUAAGUAAUAAAAAACUAUUGCAUUGUUGAUAAACUAGCAAACAAAAGAAUUUGACUUUUUAUGAAUUUACGUAUGUUAUAUUUAUUUAAAGUUUUAUAUAAAUUUAUCCACACACAAAAAAAAUAAAUAAUAAGUAUAUGUGGAGCCCUAAAGCAGUAGAACCUGACUUCAACUAUUUAUUUAUUUUUAUUUUAUUAAUUGUGUUCAGCUAUUUGUUUAUUUGAUUGGUACCCUUGAACCUGAUUCUUUAAAAAUCUCUUUGUUUGAAUUAUUUUCUUUAACAAAUAUUAUAAAUUUUGCUAAAUAUAACAGUAAUUUUCUUCUAAAUACUUCUUUAGACCAUAAAAUCAAGCAUUUUAGUUUGGAACAUUUAACACUAUUUUAUUUUAGUCGUUAUCAAGGAGUAAAAAUAAUAACAUGAUUUUUCUUGAUCUAUAAUCCAUCGCGUUCAUUUAAUUUAUUAAUCCAGUUUAUAAUUGGACGAAAAUAUUAUAAUUCAAAAAUAACAAAUCCAAACUAUGACGUAGGUUAAAAGGUUUGAUAAAUAUAUAGUGCAUGAAUUUAUGAAUACAUUGAAUGUACAAAGUAAACUAAUAAUAAAUAUGUACAAGGACUAACGCGGAAAUUGAUCAACAUUUUAAUAUUUUAUAGCCUCUUAAUUGCACCGUUGGUCGGGAGAUCGAGGACCAUUAUGCAAUUUAUCCGUUAUGAUUUGCGCAAACAUCUUGAAGAGCUUUUUUUUUUUCGAUUCAUUCAAAAUUUUAAAAUAAAUUAUUUUAUAAAUAAAAUAUGUUAUUUUAUUAAAAUAUGAGUGUCCAAACUUUUGAAGAAACAAAAUCUAAUUCAUUAUUUAAUCACGCACAAAAAGUAAAAUUCAAUGCAAUAAAUUAUCAUUUAUUAACUUACUUUUACAGCACAACAAGGCCUUAGGCUCAAGCUUGAAUUAUGAUGAAAUUAUACUGUACUAGUAAAGAAGCCCGUGCUUCGCAGCGGAUAGAAAUUAUAGGAGUAAUUAAUAAUAAAAUAACAUCAAAUAUUUUUUUGUGUAUCUCACUUGCCGCAGUCACUAAAGGUCCCUCAUUAUUGGUGCCCGGGAUGGGACCGACAACGCCUUCUCUGGCGAUAGUGACACUGAAGAUGACAACGAUCUCUUCGACCGCGGCAGAAAGGGGAGAUAGGCACACAUUAGUGAGAGAGGGAGGCGACGGUGUAUAGAAAAAGAUGAGGGAGGGAGAAUUGAUGAAUUAAUUGGAGAUGAAGAUAUGCGGAAUGCAGAUGGCGAAGGAUAAUUUGGAUGCAUUAAUUAGAAGUCUGGUGGAGAGAAGGAGGAGGAUCUUAAUGGAUUAAUUGGAGAGAAAGAUGUAAGGAUUGUAGAUGGCAGUGGAACCAUUUAUAUGCAUCAAUUGGAAGUUUGGUAGUAGAACCGUUUAAAUGCAUUAAUUAUAUGCAUUAAUUGAAAGUUUAAUGAAGGAAAUGGAGAGUGAAGGACAACUUGGCAUGGAGAAUGAGAAGGGUCACACGCUAGUGAGGGUGAGAAACAACUUGCCACGUGGUAAAAAUAUUGAGAAUUUAUAUAGACUAGUGUAGUCACCCGCGCGAUGCGGCGGAUAAAUAUUAUCAAAUCAAUCAUUAUUUUUAUAAAAUAAAAAAUAUUAGUUUAAAUGGGCUGUAAAAAUCGGUAAAAUACUAUUAAAGAUGACAUUUUUAUACUUAUUAACUCAACAAUUUAUAUAAUUAAACUCAAUAUUUCAGUCAAAAAAAUAAUAAAAUUAUAAGUAAGGAUAAAUACAAAAUUUACAAUUGAUUACACAUAACAAUUCAAAUAAAAGGAAUUGUUAAAGUUCAAGCGAGUGUUAAUUGAAAAUUAAAUAAAAUUGAGGGCCUAUUUCAAAUGGGCUAGAGAGGAUUUCUCAGUAAACAUUUUUACCAAUCUUUUUUUAGUAUUUAAAAAAAAAAAGCCAAACAAAGCUAAACCUGCACUUCUCCAGGCCUAAUUAUGCCCUUAUGUCCAGCAAAAUUUUGAUGAGUGAAUGAGCCCUGAAACCCCACAGAAAUAAUUCAGUGAACAUCUUAUAAGCAUCUACUACAAACCAAUCUGAAUUAUAACAGAGAUGUGUAACUUGAGUUACUUCUAGUAUAUAUGUAACAGUCUCAAAAAAAAAAACAUAAUUAAGCACAACAACACCUGAGCAGAAGCAAAUAUCCUAUAACAUAAGACCAUGGAUAAUAAGUUGUAAUUUUUCAAAACCAACCUCUAUGAGAGUGAUUAGAAAACCCAGCGGGAGGAGAAACUACAACAAAACAAAUUGUAAUUCAAGCAAAAAAAAAACCCCAACUUAAAAGAAAAGGAACGGUUGAGAAAAAUCAAGCAAAAUUUGGAAAAAUUUAAUGAUAAAAAUUCUAAAUUUUUUAUCCAAAUCGAAAAAAAAAAAGGUUUUCACAUCUUUCCGAUAAACCAAAAUACCUUCAAACUCAUUCAGGAGAGAAACUCAUUCAGGAGAGAGAAAGGAUCCAAGAUUCUCAGCUCAGCCUGCAAAUCACAUAAACCCCACCAAAUUAACACCCAAAAAAGAAAAACCAAAAGGUACAUAUAUAAAAAAAAGAAUGAAUUCAUAAAAAAGUCUCUUUUUGCUUUCGCAAUAAGUAAUCGAUUCAUCUAAAAGUUCGAUCUCAAUCAUUCAAUGAAUUACAAAUUUUUACACGAAUUACCUUUCAAUACUUCUCCUCAUGGUGGCGCCUUGUCUAAAAAAAAAAAAAAAAAAAAAAAUCAGCUACAGCCGUUGGCACCGAACCCAAUCCUUUGAUCGGAGAUAUCAUAAACGACGGUGAACUUCCUCUGCUGCGUGUUUCCGAUGAUGCUCACUUCGUCGGCCUUCGUGUUGCCAGCAAAUGCUAAACAAGCCUGCGAUGGGCUGCCAUACAUUAUCCCGUCGAACCCCAAAUUGAGGCUCGCCCCGCUGUCGAACACCNCUCGGAUUCAAUGGAGCUUGAAGUAGAGAAGAAAUCCAUGGAGGAAAGAGAGCUACCCACCUCUAACAGCGACUCCAAUUCCGGCACGGCGUCGAGAACGACGGAAACACUUCCUCGCCCGGCCUCCUCGUGAAACUACGGCGAUGCUCGUAUGCUCGGACGACUCCGCGGCGCGACGUCGACGACGGAAAGCUCCACACGAGCUCCUCCUUGCUCCCAACCGGCGAGAGAGAGAGAGAGAGAGGAGAAGAAGAAGCUGAGAAACCCACUUCUCUGUUUUGUAGUGAGAGAGAGGGAAAAGGGGUGAUAUAAACGAUGAAGAAUUUUACCAAGAAGCCCCCCCCCCACACACAGGACCUGGGGUCUCACAGAUCAUAUAAUGUAGAGGAGAGGGGAGGGGAAGGGGUGGAAAUUAAAGGAGAGAGAAUUAUUAAAAAAAUGAAAGAAUGAAAUGGUGGCUUUGAAAAGUUUAAUAGAUAUUCAAAGUUGGUACAGUAAUCAAUUAUGAUUAUAAUUGUCAUUAAUUGAUUAAACGUUAAUGUAGAUUACCAUUAAUUCAUGAAACGUUAAUAGAUCAUAUAACAUAGAGGAGAGGGGAGGGGAAGGAGUGGGAAUUAAAGGAGAAAUAAUUAUUAAAAAAAAACUAAAACAAAAUUUUCUAUCUAUUAACUUAAGAAUGAAGGGUUUCUUGCCACGUGGCAAGAAACAUUGUGGAUUCAUUAUGUUUAAUAGAUUAAUAGAUUAAUUAGAGAGAAAGAAGUAAGGAUUGUAAAUGGCAGUGAAAUUAUUUAGAUGCAUUAAUUGAAAAUUUGGUACGUAAUGGGACCAUUUAGAUGUAUUAAUUAAAUGCAUUAAUUAAAAGUUUGAUGAAGAGAAUGGAAAGGAUGACACCCUGGUAAGGAUAAAAGAUAACUUGCCAUAGGAAAUGAAAAGGAUCACACGAUGAUGAGGAUGAAUGACAACUUGCCAUGUAGAAAAAAUAUUAAAAAUUUAUAUAGGUUAAUAGAUGCGGUGAGAAACUAUAAUGAAAAAUAAAUUCGUUUAUUUUCAUCCGUAAUAUUAUUGUGAGACUCUACGGUAUGUUUUUUUUGUAGCACUAUCGAAAAAUAAAAUAAUAUAUAUUUUUACGCUUUCGUUGUUGCUUAAUUUAACUCAUAAAGAGGUGUGAAGUGAUGUUCCAUCGUAAAUGUUUAUUUUUGUUUUCGUUUCAGUACCCUUAUUUUUGACCGAAAUUUAAAAUUUUCAAAGAGCGUAAUUGUUUAUUUUAGGACAGAUUCCAAUACGAAAGAAAUAAUAAAAAUAUAAUAACAUAUUUCUCAUCUCUUAUCCCUCUAAUUAAUUUUUAUGUUAUUUAUAUUCUACUAAACAAAUAAUAAAUACGGAAAACCUUGAAUUGGACAACUACAUAAAUGAAUAAUAAAAGAAAAAACUAUAGUUUACAAGCAAAUAUAUUUUAACUUGAACUUUAUUUAGCCACGAUGCAAACACCAAACAGGCUCUUAAUUUUAGUCUCGAAUUUGGAAAGGAAGUGUCUUAGCUACGAGGAAUUCUACACUGUCACACUUACACCACGUCAUUAAUAACAAGUCAAUUAUUUUUUUUUUCAAAUAAAAAUAUAUUAAAAAUAUUUUUUUUAUAAUCAUGAUGGGACAUAUAUAUUUCUAAAAAAAGACAUUUGAUUGAUUUGUUACGCUACGUCACCAAUAUACCCGUUGCAUUCUAGAAUUUUUCCUUAGUUACACCUACACCAUAUUAUUUGUGUGUAGCCAAUCAUGUCUUUUAUUUUUAAAAAAUAUAUAAUACAAAUAUAUUUUUUAAAAAGAUUAAGUUUAUAUAGGUUUCUGCAAAUAUAAGUGAAUGUCAAAUAUGUCUCUGCAAAGUUCAAUUUUUAUACGGUAUUCCUGUAAAAACUCUGAUAUUUUCAAAUACAUCCAUCUGGUUUCUUACCGUUAGAGAAUCGUCAAAGAACUAUUUAUAUUUUUAAUUUUAUCACCAUAAAUACGGCCCUCUAAAAACUAUAACAGUAUAAUAUAAGAGAAGUAAAUAUGUCAAAAACUAAUUGGGAUUAAGUAUUUAAUCUAUAAUUAACUAAAUUUUUCUAACAGAUUCUAACGGUAGGAAUAUAUUAAAAAAUAUCAAAAUUUUUACAGGAAUAAUAUAUAAAAAUUGAGCUUUGUAGAAUUAUACUUGUCAUUCAUUAUAUUUAUAGUAAUAUGUAUAAAAUUAAUUUCUAAAAAAAUAUAAUGAAAUAAUCAAUGAACAUGAUGAAGAUGAUAUGAUUGAUUCGAAAUGCCACCUAUCCGAGUGUUACAUUAUUUUAGACUUUUUAGAACUCGGCGCGACCGUCGUUGGCACGUGUGAAAGGGGGCCGGUCUCCCAUGUGUGGGUCUCGGGCCGACACGUGGCCUCAAGUUAGGUACCCCCGCACGUGCGUAGCAGCGACGGGCGCUGCUGCAGUAGCAACGUGCGUGGGGCCCAGGAAAAUUUAGAACAGUUGUAACACAUACGAUUUAUCCUAAAUUAAUUUUAUUAUUAUUAUAAUAUCAAAUAAAAUAAAAAAAUUUAAUCAUAUAAUAAUUACACAUUAAAAAAUAAUAUUUUGACUAAAUUAGAAAAAAUUUUCUUGUCAAAACCUGAUUUUUCACAUUCUCCAUUUUAUUUAAAAAUCUACACUUUGGACUAUUAUAAAAUAAAAAAUAUUCACUCCACCCUCGACCGUUAGUAAUCCGUUAGGGUUCCGUUUAUAAAAUAUUAUUAUUAUUUUUUAUGCCAAAAAUGUCUUUAACCUUCUCUUCUGUUGCAAAAAAUGAUUAAAGACAAAAUGAUCAUUUUGUCAUCACAAUUUACACCGUACCUUCUGUGACUAUUUUUAUUUUACAAAAGAACAAAGUGUAAAUUUUAAAUAACAGGAGGAAAAAAUAAAAAAUCAAAUUUUUACAGAAGAUUUUAUAUAAUUUAGCCUUUUAUUUUUUUUAUAUUUUUCAGCAAUAUAGAUAUAUUCUAUAUAUUCAAUUAGAUGUCUCACGAUAUUGGCAGUGCAUAUAGUUAACAAAAAAUAAAAUUAAAUUAAAAUUUGGUGACUUAAUAAGUAUACUAAUAUAUGAAUAUAUGUGUAUAAAUAAAUUUAAAAAAGAAUUUUAUACUUGUAUAUUAAAUAAAUAAUUUUUAAAACAGAGAUUUUGUUUUUGUAUGAAAAGCUCUCUCAGUCAAACAAAGGACUAAAUUAAGAUUCUAUCUCUCUGUAAUAUUGUCUCCCAACUAAAAACAAUAAUCAAAACCAUAAUAAAACCAUAAUAACAUUUUAUUUAACUAAUUAAUCCCUAGUUGAUUAAUUAGCACACAAGCAACAGAAGAGAAAUGUAAUUAGGAGUUUAUGGAGACCCCUGGAUAUUUCAAAGUGAACUCAUUAAAUUUUUUUUUUUUUUUUUUUUUUUUUUUNUUUUUUUUUUUUGAUUGAUAUCUUCUGCUUCUAACUUUUUAGAAUUAAAUAAUUUACAUUAAAAUUUUAAUUAUUUUUAAAAAUUUAUUAAUAAUUUUAAUUAUUUUUUUAGCAAAUAAAAUUAGAUCAAUUAACACUUAAUAACUAAUAAAACUAUAAAUUUGAGAAACUUUCAAAUAAACCAAAUAUAAAAGCUCAAUUUUUUUUUUUAAAAAAAAUAGAAGUUGAGAGGUUUCAAUCGAAAAUUAUAAAAAAAAAAAGAAAAAACUUCAAAUACCACCCUUCUGGUUCAAUAUUUUUUUAUUUUAGUACCAUAUAAUUUAAAGUGCAUUAUCACUAUAGUAUUUUAUGAUUUUAUUUUUUUCUUUCCAACAAAAUUACAGGAUAUUAACAGUGAUACACCUUAAACCACAAACUAUUAAAGAAAAAUAUUCAAGGCUUUUUUUUUAAAUUACAAAUUUAUCUGAACUAUGAGUUAUUUUGAAACAACCACCUAACUUUUGGUGGCCUCCUUAUAUAUAUAUAUAUUUUUUAGAGGACUGAAUGCAAAAAAAAAAAAAGUCUUUAAAUAAACUGUCCAUAGCUGAGGGCUGUAUUUUAACUUGUUCAAUAGUUGAGGGGUCUCCAUACAUUUCUACAAAAGUGAAACAGGGGCAUUUCCGUAAUUUUUUCUCUCUCUCUCAUCCCCCANUUCAUACAUUUCUACAAAAGUGAAACGGGGGCGUUUCCGUAAUUCUCUCUCUCUCUCUCAUCCCCCAUACAUUACCAUUUCCUCUCCUCCUCAAAAGAAGAGAAGAGAAGAGGAGAGAGAGAGAGAGAGAGAGAGAAAGAGAAUCUAUCCAAUCUACUUGCAAUAAAGAAACCCCCGUACGUUCCUCGUGAGCAAUCUCAGAGAAAACACACACAACACACACACACACACACACAUAGAGGGAGAGAGAGAGAGAGAGAGAGGUUAGGGUUAGGGCACAAACCCAUCUCCGCAAAUCGCUGCUCCAAUGGCGAGGACGACGGAGCGCCCCUACUAGAGAAAGAGAGGGGGUGGGGGGGGGAGGGGGAGAGUGAUAGUGUAAUACGAUGACAUCGGGGGGAGCGGGGGGGAGGACGCCGACGUGGAAGGAGAGGGAGAACAACAAGAGGAGGGAGAGGAGGAGGAGGGCGAUCGCGGCGAAGAUAUUCGGGGGGUUGAGGGCGCAGGGGAACUACAAGCUCCCCAAGCACUGCGACAACAACGAGGUCCUAAAGGCGCUUUGCAACGAAGCAGGGUGGGUCGUCGAGGACGAUGGCACCACCUACCGCAAGGUUAUCGUCUACUCCGCCAGCCCUUUCUCUUUCUCCUCCGUGUAUCUGGAUUUGGAGUUGUAAUGGUGGGUUGAGAUUUGGAGUGAUUUGGGCCAAAGAUGAGAUUUUUUUUUUCUCUUUUUUUUUUUUCGAUGAUGUGGGUUUGGGGAUUUUGCUCAAAAUAAUCGCUUGUGGAAUAUCUUUCUUUGUGAUGUGUUGGUUUUGGGGGGUUUGGAGAUGCAAUGGUGGGUGGGUAUGGAGUGAUCUGAGCCAAGAUGUGAUUUUUCUGAUGCGGGUUUUGGGACUUUUCCUUUUCUUUUUUUUUUUGCUGAUUUUUUUUUUCCCUUUUCGGGGGCUAAUCUGAUUUUGUUUUGGGUGGUAUCCCUUCCAAUUUAGGGCUUUAUUGAAUUUGGUUCUCUCCAAUACAAAGAUCUGCGUGCAAGAUUGCUUUUUGGGUGUUUUCUUAGAUCAUUUUCCCCUUGAUAAUUUGUUCUCAUCAAACUACCCGUUCCUGGAUCCCUUCAGAUUUAAUGAGAUAUCCUAAAUUUAAAAUGGUUUCUAGAUCUGUGGCUGCAACCUUUUUUUUGUGGAAGAAACCCUAAAUUUGCCCUUGCUUUUGAGCUUGUUUCACAUUUUUUUCUAGAUGGAAGGUUGAUCCUCUUAGUCAUGUUGCUUUUAUCCAAAAGUUUUGAUCUUAAUUACAAAAAAAACAAAAAAGAAGAAAAUUUUAACUUUUGAUUCUCUUUUUCUUUUGACUGUUGCUCUUUGUUAUGGCACCCUUUGGUGCAUUUUUCUUUUUUUAAUUUUCAUUGGACCCAACAUGAUGGUGUCCUUUUAAUUGGGUUGUGGAAAUUUGUCUCUCUACUAUUUAACUUUUCUUUCUAUUGUUCCUCUCCCUUUUUCUAUUUAUGUUAAGCAUUUUGUAUCAAGUGAUUUUUUUUUAUUUUCUUCCUCUUCAUCCACCUUUUGAAGAAGAGUAGAAAAAAGUGGGCAGGGGAAGAAUAAAGUCAAUUCAUUUCCCAAUUACAGGAUUAGGGCACCUUCUAGACAUCAUGGACAUUAUCCAAACAAAUCAAAAAGUUGAGAAAUGAAAAAAGAUUUCAAUUUAUUUAUUCACCUUAUCAUUAUGAUUGAUGGAUGAUGAUCUACAUUUCUUCAUUGACCUCAUAACAUUGUUAAUGAACAUGAUUCACUUUGUUCAUCAACUCAGAAGAUGAUAUUACUGAAAAUGAUUUAGUUUCUUUAUCCUGCAGCAAUAACAAUGGUGCUCAAUAUAUUUUAUUCUGAUCAUGUAUCUAUUGUUACUUACCUAGUCAUGAAGCUUUGAUCUUUAUCUCUAAUGCAUCAAAUGUGUUGCGCUAAAUACUUACCCUAUAUAUAUAUUUGUUGCCUCCCUAAAUCAUAAGAAUGAAAUAUCAAUGUCCGCAUUUACACAAUUAAUUAAAAUGAUGUAAUUUCGUGAUGAUUUGUUCAUUAAGUCAUGAGAUGAUGGAUCUCUGCAUCAAGAAUGAUUGUGCUUAAAAUAUUUAUUCUGACCAUAUCUCUACUGUUUCACUCUCUUUAUGAUCAUGAAGUUUUUGUAUAUUCUAAUGCAUAUUACCGCUCUUUUCAUUCAUUUUACUCUUUACAGGGAUGCAAACCGGCUUCGCGACCUCCUGAAUUGACUAUAGAAGGCCCCUCGGCGAACGUAAGCCCGUGCUCCUCCUCCCACCAUCUCAGCCCACUCAACUCCUCGUACCCUAGUCCGGUCCCUUCCUAUCAUGCAAGCCCGUCCUCCUCCUCCUUCCCUAGCCCCACCCGCGUCAACAACCCUAACCCCAACCCUACCCUUAACCCCUCUCUUUCCUCCGCAACCUCCCCACCCCUCUCCCCCCCCUCCGAGUCUCAAACAGUGCCCCUGUGACUCCGCCCCUGUCAUCUCCGACUGCCGCCUCUCGCCCUGCGAAGGUGCAGAAAACUAAUUGGGACAAUUCUGCAUUUCCCAAUUCAUUUUUUGCCGUCUCCGCACCCUCUAGCCCGACUAGAACCCGGUUUCACCACCAUCAUGCGACAAUACCCGAGUGUGACGAGUUGGACAUUUCCACCGUCGAUUCUGGGCGGUGGGUCAGUUACCAAAUGACGGCGCCUGCGUCGCCGACGUAUAAUCUUAUCAACCCCGCCGCUCCUCUACCAGAGAGCGCGAGGGUCAUCGGAGGUCUGGAAAGGACAGGGCGUGGCGGUGGGGCGGAGUUUGAAUUCGAGAGCGGGGGGCGAGUGAAGCCUUGGGAAGGGGAGAAGAUUCACGACGUCGGGGUGGAGGAUCUCGACCUCACAUUGGGAGUGGGCAGCGGGUGUGCUAAGUGAGUUGAUGAUCUUGGAGUUAUAUUUGGCUCGGACCGCUCAGGUUCGCGCUGUUCGCUUGUCUUGUGUUGGUAUUAUUCUGUAACGCGCGCAUUAACAUGGGUUGAUUCUUUGAUUGCCUUGAGCAGCAAAUCAUUGUGAUGUUGAGCUACCAGUGUGAUGGCAGUUGCUGGUAGCCUAUUUCUGUAGAUCAGCAAUCAGGGUUUUGUUGCUAGCUUUGUAAAUGUUGGGAAGAAGCUUGCUGAGGAGAAGUAAUAUCUCCUAUCUCCCGUUCUAAUCAGUUGGUUUAUUCCAAUGCUGUUUUCUGGGGUGAUGUGAGCAAUUAAUAUUUUCAAGGAACUGCUGUAUUUAUUAGGUCUACAAGAAAAUUCUCUAAUUGGAUUUUUUUUUUUUUAUUUUACUGUUGAGAGAAGAUCUAUAAAUUGGAAGGUUGUUACUCGCUUCUCCAAAUGGCCCUAUUUUUUUUUUAAAAAAAAAUUCAAUCUAAAGAGAUAUGAAAAUAGCAUCUCUUUUCCUUACUGCAUGAGACCCAUAAGAUUGUGAUCGAUUUGUUUGAGAUUUAUUGGAGAAAUUAGAGGUAUUCAAUUUGUGCUAUCCAAAAAGACUACUGUUAACAGAUUUGUUGUGUUAAAUCCGAGCUUUUGCUUUCAGGAUUCGGAGUCUCGUAUUUCACGCGUUGCUGAGAAGGAAACUUCAUAUUCUUUCUCUUUACUAAAUGCUGUACAAUGCUUACAGAAGCAGCAGAAGCAAAGUAAAACAGGCUCUCCUUUUUUCCUCUCUGUAGAAGUUCCAAAUUACUCUUCAACCAUAAUUAUUAUGUCUAAAACUUUAGUUAAUGCUGGAACUAUUUCUCUUAAUGCUGGAACUAUGCUUUGUGGCUGCACCCUACACAAGCGAGAUAGUGAUAUCUCCAUGGAGGGAUGCACUGUUCGGUCAAAGGGAACCAGGGAGCUUUCGAGGGGCCUCUCUUUUCUUAAUGUGAGGCGUGGAGAAGCUGCUGAUCUUUAUGAUGCACUCAUCUACCAAACACUGCAGGAAAAAGCACUUCUUUUUUAAUGAGAGCUGGGGCCAGGGAAAGAGCCAUUUCAACUAAAUGAGCCCCAACCCAGCCAAACCAAAUGUUUUGAGGAAAACACCUGGUGGCCUUGUAAUUUUACGGCAUAGAAUCUCAAUAGGUUCAAUAGGAACAAGGAUAGUGGGAACACGAAAUCCAAACAAUUCGCAUUUAAAACAGAAAAAAAAAAAAAAAAACAAAUAAAGGGAACUAUCCGAAUGAGGUCUAUCAAUGUAGUCUCUGGGGUAAAUUGUAUGAUUAGAGGUCCAAACUUUUUAGAUUAGUUUCCAUUUAGUUACAAUUGGAUCCUUCACAUUCUGUUGCCAUCAUAACUUUUCCCUUCAAAUGUCUCUCUUAAGAUCGACAAAGUUGUCGAUGUAACGACCAUUAAAUUAAUAUGGAGGUUGGAAGUCCAAAGUAGAAACGCGUCGACGGUUGGGGAAUAAUGGUGCAGUUUACCUUUCAUUUAUGAGCAGUACUAAUAUUAAGACCUUGCAAUUGUGACAACAAAGUAUAGCUGAACACGACGGAAGAAGAAACCAAAUUCAUUACUGUAUUAGCAGUCAAAUUGUGUAAGCAUUACAGUGAUAUUACAAGCACAAACAGAAUAAGAAGAAAUUAGAUACUACAUAAACUCUUAACGCAUACUAUUUCCAGAUCAAGUAUAAUUAGCAGAGCAGAGUGAAAUGGUAAACCAACCUGCCUCUUAAGCCUCUGUUAGUAACAUUGCCGAGAUACUUUUCUUCACUUCAGCAGCCCGAGUGUGGUUUUCGCAGGCAUUAAAUCUAAAGCAGCUAGAAAGAUGGUCGUUGACUAUUCCUGCGGCUUGCAUGAAAGAGUAAAUAAUAGUCGGCCCGACACAUCGGAAGCCCCUUUGCAUUAGGUCCUUGCUAAUGGCUUCUGCUUUUGGACUCUUCACUGGAACUUGACGCGUGUAUCGGAAUCCAUUGACUAUCGGCUUGUGGCACACAAAGUUCCAGCAGUAGUUGCUGAAGGACCCAAAUUCCUCUAUUAUCUGUAAAUGGUAGACUCAGUUACUGCUUUAACUCAUGUAGUGAGCAUGCUUCGUAAUAUCGAUAAGGGUUGUUAUUAACAUUUAACCAACAUUUGUCUUUACAUGAAAAGCAAACAUCUAGUACAAGGAUUUUUUUUUUUUUCAUAUUAUAGAAAAAAUAACAAUGGGCAAACUCUAUAGCAAUACUACCAUCGUAGUACUACCAUUUAAGUCGGCAAAAUCUGUUAUCGGCAGCAUGGUAUCGAACUGCGGUCACGAAUCUUAAAUAACUUGUGAGUUCUAACUAAAAUACCAAAAUAAGGAACUCCACUUUAAAGCAGUGAGGUAACAUAACAACAUUAUUAGCAGUUACAUUUUAUACAAUAUCUAGAAACAUAACAAUAAAGUAGCAGGAAAUGUUUACACUCUUGUUAGAGUUAAUUCGAUUAAGAAGGCACCCAGAAUGAGCAACCUACAAAAAUAUUUAUAGGAAUCCACUAUAAAGUAGCCAAAGAAGCAGCUAAAUGGCAAUAAAAAGAAAGGAAAUAGGGUAGAUUCAUUAUUAAAGGCUAUGUGCAAUGCAAUUGAAAAUAUACCUACACAAAUAUAACUUACCUUCUUUAUUAGUCUUGCAUUUUCUACGGCUGCUCUAAUUUUCUGCUCUGAUAACAAUGAGCUACUUGAUCUGAGUAGAAUGAUCUUCUUCUCGGUAAAUUUAGCAAUAGAAGAGUGGUCAAAAUCAUCAAAUAACUUCCUGAGAAAAGAGUUCAUAACUAAGAUGUCAAAAGCACAACUAAACUCUGUUGUCGUAAAUAAGCAUUAGUGUUUUAAGACAAUAACUAUUACCUGAAUGUGCCUCUCUUCUUUAGAAUAGUUGGCCAGCUCAACUCUGCGAGAGCUUGCGAUAAUAUAAGUAACUCGAAUAGCUUUCGGUCAUCAAAUACCGGAGUUCCCCAUUCCUUAUCAUGGAAAGUAACAUAUAGAGGGUCUAGCAAGGAAGAGAGGAAUGAUGUGCAUAAAUACAAGUAUAUGUGCUUUAUCUUCAAACACAGUAUCCAAUUGCACAUAGCAUGCACUUGACAGAAAACCAGUGGUUUCAUUGUUAUCGUUCAUUUCUCAUUUACAAUGGCAAAUCGUGCCACCAAUCUCCGAACUUUUAGUAAGGUUUUAUUUUUGUCCUCAAACUUUUUAAGUUGGACAUUUGAUACUCUAACCAUCGAAAGUGUCCCAUUUUUGUCCUUAUCCUUAUUUACCAUCCUACACCUCAAGCAUCUCUCCGUUCAUGCACCAUGCAUCUAUCAACUCCUAAUCUUUCAUCUUAUAUUCAAAUCCUACCACUCAUUAACUUGCAGAGUAUUCUAUGUUUAAAAAAAUUGGAUAGUUGGAUUAAAACUGUGAGAUGCACAGAGGAACGAACGGGUUCGUGGUGCAUAGACAUACAAAUGAACCAGGUGCAAGAGAUAAUUUUUCUUUAAUUUGCAUAAGGACUUUGAAACAAUUCGGAAAGGUUCGGGGUCUCAAAUUUUGAACUUUUUCAAGGACCAAACUAUGAAAGAGGGAUUUUUAUUAUUAUGAUUAUUAUUUCUUAUAAACCAGUGGUUAAAUUUCGAGUUCUUAUUUCAAAAAUACUGUAUUUCUAGCUAGUAAAGUUCAAAUACCUAUUUCCAAAAAAUACACAAUGUGAGACUAUAUGGUUAGGGUAAUAUCAGUACAUUUUCACCUUAAUUACAUCUCAGCAAUAAUAUCCAAUUUCAUAUAAUUAGAAUCAAAUGAAGAGAUUACCUGAACAAAUUGAAAUGAUAAACCAAAACAAAAACCUAUUAAUGCCAUUAAAGUUAUUUAACUCACCAGAGUAAGGAGUUAUCCACGAACACCUCUUCUUCUCCAACGACGGCUCCUUCGGUAUCGAGGGCGACUCCGCCGCCGCGUCCGAAGCCUCGGGAGCGACCCUCGCGGCUCUCGCCACAUUCUUACGCCGAGCUCCCCCGACCUUCGCCGAACCCCGAUCGCACGAAGAGUCCGAGGAGCAGGACCCGGCUCCCGAUGCGUCGAAGCGGCCCGAUUCCGGCGGCCGAGUGGCCGGAUUCGGCCUACUCCUCCUCUCCGACCCCUUCUUCUUCGUCCCGGGCUCCGGCGCCGCCGCCGCGAUCUUCUGCUUCGAUCUAGGGUUUGCCCCCGACCUCAGUGCGACGGCCCCCGGCAUCGGACAAGGAGCGAAAUUCGGAGCCAAAAAGAGCGAGAUCCGAGGACGAUUGCAGUGCGACGAAGGAGAAUUGGAGGUGAUUGUGAUUGAUUUGGGCGAAAAACCCUAGAAAUUGGGUGAAAAAGGAGUGGUUUUGGGGAGGGUUAGAGAGAGAGAGAGAGAGAGAGAGAGAGAGGGGUUCGUGGCAGAGUUCGAAAUGGAGAGGGGGAACAGUACGGAGGAGGUGGAUUUAAACCGGGAACGAACGUAGGGCACGGGUGACCGGCAAUAGCCGGUUACCGGCUCUCGCGUGCCGUUUCAGUUUUUAAGAAAUGGGUGGAAUUCCAGAAAUGCCACUGGCUGUCGCGAUUUAUAUCACAAAUGCAACUAUCUCUAGUAGAUGGUUUUUUUUUUUUUUUUUUUUUUUUUUUUUUUUUUUUCCAAUUUAACCCUUUUUAAAGGAAUUUUUUUUAAUCAAGAAUCCAAGGCCUUAUUUGAUAUUGUGUAUAUAGUGUUUUUGCUUUUAAAAGUCGCUCCUUUUAACCAUUUUAUUUUGAAUUAUUUUCAUACAUGAUCCUACAAAUAUAAUAUAUAAUAAAUGACAAAUAUAUCUCUAUAAAAUUUAAUUUUUAUAUAUUAUUUCAACAAAAGUCUUUUAAAAAUAUUCCUAUCGUUAAAAUCCGCUAGAAAUAUUUAGUUAACCAUAAAUUAAAUACUUAAUUCUGAUUAGUUUUUAACAUUUUUACCUCUUUAUAUUAUAUUGUUAUGACUUUUGGAGGGAUAUAUUUGUGAUGGCAAAAUUAAAAAUAUAAAUAGUUUUCCAACGGUUCUCUAGCUGUAACAAAUCAGAGAAAUAUAUUUUAAAACAUUACGACUUUUGCAGUAACAACCUAUAAAAAUUAAACUUUAUAGGAAUAUAUAUUUAUCAUUCACUAUAUUUACGGGACCUAUAUGAAAUUAACUUUUUUAUUUUAUUCUUUUUUAGUUAAACCGUAUGGAGACGCUCUCAAUUAUAAAAAAAAAAAAUUUAAAAUAUGGCCGUCACAUUAAUAAUGUGAUAUUUUCAACCAAUCAAAUUACACCUCUAAAAUUUAUUCAUCCACCAUAAUUUUUUAAAAAAUAUUUUUAUUAUAUUUUUCUCUCAUAAUAAAAUACGUAAUUGACUGGAUAUAAAUGAUAUGAUGUGACUGUCACAUAAUAGAUGUCCUUCAAUUAUAGGUGAUUUCAAAAUAGGCCCAUCAACUUUUAUUUAUUUUUUUGUUUAAGAUACUCUUUGGUUCUAAUUUUUAAAAUCAAGUAAUUUUAAUUUAAAAAACUAAAAUCUUUUUAAAUGUAUUCAUGAUAUCAUCAAACUUAAUAAUUUUAAUUUUUCCAGCAAAUUAAACUAGAUCAAUCAACGUUUAAUAACUAAAAAAAAAACUAUUAAAUUUAAUAAAUUUAAAUUUAAAAGGUAGUUGAAAAUAAAAACUUACAAAAAUUUAAAAAUUAAAAAUAAAUAGUACAAAAUUUAUGUAAUUUCUGAACGUUGUUACCAAAAUACUAGAAGAGGUACCUCCAUAACAAAUGGCAGACAGUGGUUGAGGAGGGUAGAAUUGUAAUACCUGUUGUCUACGGAGGGUAAAAGAGUCAUUUGAGUUGGGUGACAAAACGCUUUUUGGCGACCCGUCGUAAUCGGUUGCUGGUGAACCGUUAAGAGAGUAGUGAGUGAGUGCGGUAGCUUGCCUCCAAAUUUCCAUACCGUUAAGCCCAAGCAUCAAAUUUUUUUUUUUUUUGAAUAAAUUUCAAAUUGCCCCCAAUAAUUUAGCUUAUUUUUACUCUACCAUCUCGUAAUUUAAAAAGAUUUUACUUUCAGCCCAUGCUUUAGCGCAUUUUUUUUACUUUGUCGCCUUGUAUUUUUUAAAAAAAAAUUAAUUUGUCAUUCUAUUUGAUAUAUAAUUUUUUUGGUGAAAUAAAAAUUAAACGCUAAGGUGGCAAAGUAAAAUUGAGCUAAGCCACAUGAGGGCUAUUUGAAAUUUACCCAAUUUUUUUAGAAAUCUAAUUCAAAGUCUCUGACAUGGGGAGACUAUAAAAUGCUAUUCUGGACUAAUUCCUAUGAGACAGUUUUUUUAAUAAUAUAAUAUUAAAGUUAAUCAUAAAAUCUAUUAUUUUUAUUAAGAUUGACUUCUAUAUUAUUCUCUUUUCGGUCAGGACAUGAAAUAUGAUUCACCUGAUGUCUAUUACGUAUAUAAGUAGAUUUGUUAAGAUUAAUUUUGGGCCAAUUCCUAUGGCAUCAAUCUUUGGGGUAACGUUUAGCAUAAUAAUUAGAAUUGUCUCAAACAUGUGAGUUCACUCUGAGAAACCUUUUUGGGGACACAAGCUUGGAUUUAGUUUCAAACACAUGGCUUUGCUGUGAGAUAUCUUCUGAGGAUCCAGUUUCAGAAUCAAAGACAUAUGAUGCCACUCUGAGAUACCUUAACAAUCAUUGUUUGGUUAGUUCCAAGGAGACAAAGAAAAAAAACUAUCCAUUUUAAUUUUUUUUAAAAAAUAAACACAGCUAAAAAAAAUUUGAGGCUUCGAAUUUGUGAUCUUAGAUACCAACCAUCGAGUGCUUAGCANAGUUUCAAACACAUGGCUUUGCUGUGAGAUAUCUUCUGAGGAUCCAGUUUCAGAAUCAAAGACAUAUGAUGCCACUCUGAGAUACCUUAACAAUCGGUGUUUUUUUUUUUUUUGAGAGAAAAAGAUAACAUACUAUCCAUUUUAAUUUUUUUUAAAAAAUAAACACAGCUAAAAAAAAUUUGAGGCUUCGAAUUUGUGAUCUUAGAUACCAACCAUCGAGUGCUUAGCAAAUUGCACCAGAUACAGUCGCGAAGUUGGUAAUUAUUAUAACCCUUCAUUCCAGGUUAUUAUAUCCUUAACUGAUAUCUCAAGUAAAGAAAAAUCCAGGAAAUUAAAUGGGGAUGAUGAGAAAGGUGCAGGACAUAAAGGAGGUGCAGCUCCCACUUCUCAACGGCUACAUUCUCUAUUUCAAAAUUGUGACCAAACGGCUGUUGAUUACCAGUUUAAUUUGCUCACCCUCCAAAUUAAGACACAAUAUUUUAAUAUAGCAACCUUUAUUGAAAUAAGAUCAGAUUCAUUGGAUCAGAUUCAAAUGAACUACUCUGUCCAAAUGUAAAAUCAUCUUUAUUAAUAACAUCACAUCACUCCACUUCGUGCGCUAGUACAGGACACAACUGGUACCGCUUGAUGCCUUUUCUUUCAGAAAUGUACUACACUCAAAAGUGGAGCGUAAGCUUUACAUCCACACAUCCAACAACUUAAAAUCUUUUUUUCAUUCUUACUAUUAUAAAAAAAAUAAAUAAAUAAAUGGAUAAAAUGUAAAAUUUAUAUCCACUUUUUGAGCAGUAUUGCUAUUUUUCUUUGGUAUGGCCAUCCUUGCAUGAAUCUGAUAACAAAACACAAUGCAUCGUGAGAACCAUGCUAACUAAGCACUCAGAAUUUAUGAUACUGAAGAGGUGUUUUAAAUUAUUUCUUCGUUGCAUUAGAGAUCCUAUAAUUGGUAUUAUCUAAACCUAGGGUUUAUUAGGGUUUAAUACGCCUUUUGUAUUUGGAUUAUUCUUUCAUCCCAGUUAGGGGCGGCAAUCACUCCAACCCGACUAGGCGAACUUUAAAACUUAAAAAGGGAGUUAAACACACAGAAAUAUCUAUUUUCUGGUGAAACCGCAAGAAUUGUCCUUAACAUGAUUUGUGUAUUUUGCCCACCAUUCCAAAUUAAGUAAAGUUUAACUUCGAGUGUAUCCAGACAAAAACAAUUUGGUUAUUGGGGCAAAUUAGAUCAUCGUACCGGAUUUCCUAUUAUAAUUUUAAGGAUGAAUUACACUUUUGGUCCUCAAAUUAUGAGGCCCGUGACACUUUAGUUUCCGAACUUUAAUUCGUUGGAAUUUCUAACUCGUACUAUGAGGUGCACGAUACUUUAGCGUCAAACUUUAGUUGGUUCAAAUUUUUGGCUCGAAUUAUGAGAUAUGUGACAUUUUAAUCAUCGAAUUUUUUGAAUCGUAGCAAUAUCCUAUUUGAUGAUACAAUAAUAAUUAAAAUUGUAAUAAUAUCCUACUUGAUAACGCAAUAAUAAUUAAAAUUAUAGCAAUAUCCUACUUGAUGAUGUAAUAAUAAUUAAAAUACUACAUUACGUCGAUAUUAGUAAUUCUUCCAUACUUAUUCAAAAAAAAUUCGAUUGUGGGAUUUGGUUGUCACAAUUCAGAAAGUUCGAGAACUAAAACUUAACAUACCUCAUAGUUUAAGCCAGAAAUUAUACCAAAAUACCACGCACCUCAUAGUUUGAGCCAUAAAUUACAACUAAUUUAAAAUUUGAGAAUUAAAGUGUCACGCACCUCAUAGUUUUGAGGACCAAAUGUGUAAUUUACCUUAAUUUUCAAUACUUCAGUUGUAGAAAUUCUAUUAAAAAAAAUAAAACAAUAAAAAGAAUAAAACAACAAUGACGCCAAAGGAGGCCAAACUUUGUUAUUUAGAUAAAGGGAAGGUUGUGUCGAUUGCGAGUAACUCCAAUUAACCAACACAUGUGAAAGGAAAAUGGAACAAGAAAGCAUAAAGCGUACAUCAACAUGUAACAUAGUUACCUUAUUGUCCAUUACCUAUUGUUAGAGAUGCCAUAUUAUGUUUUCCUCCAACACUUUCAAAAUUAUGCAACACAAAGGGUUUAAACAACAAUUUAUUCCACUUAUCAGCUAGGGACAAUUCCAUAUAUAGAUUAUUGGCUAUAAAGAUUGAGAGAUAUUUCAUAAAGGGUUCGGAUAAAUCGAUAAUGUAGCUGGGAUAUUGAAGAUGCAGGAGGGGACAAUGAGCAACUCAUGAGCUUACCCUGAUGGAUUCAGUAGCCUUUUUAAGACACUUCCUUUACGCUGAUAGGUUCUGUAGCCUUUUGAAGCCACUCCAUUUCCUGCUCAUUCAUAUAUGGUGCUAAAACUUUUCUGCAUUCAGCAUGGUAUGAGUUCACCCAUUUAAUCUCGUCGACGUUCAGCAAGGUCAGGUCCAUUAGUUUCUUCUGGUAUGGGGCCUGCAUAGUUACCUCUCAUCAAUUUCAAAAACUACAAAAAUAUCGGAAAAAGAAACCAAGAGACCCUUAGCUAUUUAAAUUGUUAACAUAACAAAUUACACCCGUAUUCCUGAACCAUAUCCGCUACAUUUGUAUUCAUUAUUGUAUACGAACUCAUCCCAUACAAAAAAAAGAAGUGUCAAAUAGCUUGAUAGUAUUUUUCAAGCUCUUCUAUUUCGAAGGAACAGAAAAAGGAAAUGAGGCAUAAAAAUGCCUUUGAGAUGGUGAAUUAAAAUCAGCCUAUCAAGCCUUAGGUCAUGUCAUCUGUAACUGCCAAAAGAAUGAAACUGUUUCCAACGGAUGAGAGAGACGUAUUUCUCAUUCCUAAUUCUUGGAGAUUAGUAAUGACCAAAGCUAAUCAAAAUUUGGUCCAAAUUGACCAAAAUACAUUGUGUUAAGCCAACUAAUCCAAAACAAGCCGAAGCUAAUUGAAUCCCCAAAAUUUCCUGAGUUUUGUAUUUAGUCUCAGUUGAACCUUCAGAACUCGUGCCUUUAAACAUCGAGAUGUAAAUAGGAAUACUCUGAUCAAACUCAACUUGAAAAAUCUAAAGCAAAGUAAUGUGAACGAAGAACCUCAACAAGCAAAAUAUUUCUUUACCCAUGAUUAUUAAUUAUUAUUUUAAGCAAACUACUUGUCAAAGUUUCGGAAAUGAGAGAAAAAACAACAGUAAAGACAAGGUUAACAGUCAAGCAUACCCAUGUUAUGUGCUCAAACUCUAAAUAGCCCUUUUCACCAAAAUUGAACUUCGUAUUAGCCUCGUUGACUAUAAGAACGUUCUCCAACCUUAUACCAAAGCUCCCAUCUUCAUAAUAACCAGGUUCUGCAAGAAAAGAAGUGAAAAUUUAUCUUCAAAUCUUUAUUGGAAAUUUCUUAAUAACUCAAAAAUUCACAACUGUAAUUUUAAUAGUUCAAUGCAUCCGAAGAAAAAUUGCAAGCACGUAAUGUCAAAUGAUUACCAGCCUAAGAUACUGUACGACACCUAAAUACAAAAUAAGGAUGGUUAACAGUUCAACAUCUUAAUGAAAAACACUUAUGUUUUAUGUUCACCGUUCACUUAAAAACUGAGAAUCAGGAAGUAGUAAAACGUAAGAAACAGCAUGACACAGUGCAAGGCAGAUGAUAACUUAGAGCAAAUGUUCAUUUUCUAACACCUGGCGGAAUGCGGUAAGCUAAACGGGCAUUUAGCCUUUUGUUACUUGAAAUGCAUGAGUUCACAAAGCAACUCUAUUUGCUAUCCUAUAGUAUCCGGUAUAUUUCAAACAAGGAUUAAGUGCCCAUCGGCACGAGCCGUAUCCAUCGUGCCGUAUCGUGCCAGCAAGAUAUCAACACGAUACAGCCUCUGUACCGAUGGCACAACUCAAAACUCUCUAUUCUUGAAAUUAGUAAGUAAUUUUCUCAAUAAAGUUCAAAAGAUUUGAUUAAAAAUACAUAAUAAAUAAUUGAUAUAUUUUGUUGCUAAAGAAAAUAAAUAUUUCCUGCCAUUACGUGUCGGCAUAGAUAUAUUUAUUGUGACCGGUACGCAUCGGCACGAUCCGGCACGCACCGUGCCGACAAGUUGCCGGCACGACCCCAUGCCAUGGCACUUAAAUCCUUGAUUUCAAAGAUCUACAAACUGUUAGUUUUGGAAUUUUGAAUCAUAAAGUCUUUCCUUGAGUUAAACAGAAUGGGCCCUUACAUUAUAAGUUUGAACUUCCUGUUAAGUGAUGAAUUGAGAUUCUGACUGUUAAGCAGCAGGAAGGUACUUAUUCAUGAGCUAUGAAGAAGUAAAUUCCCGUAGGAAGUUAAAAAUUAUCUGCAAACACAAUGCAUUUUUAUCCAAAAAAAUAAAAACAAGAACAUGAGUUAUCUAGAAACAGCUCAUCCUAAUAUCCGGGAAGGGGCAAUUUUUCAUAUAUCUGCAAAAUAUGAACUGGUCCAGAAUUUAAACCUUAAAACAGCACAAGGAAAAUAUCAUAGAGUACAAACCAUCUGUCACAGUCAUCGACGAUUGCAAUGGCACAUUCCGAGCAUGAGGCUUGAAACUAAUUAGAUGCGGUCCUGAUAAAAGAUAUAUACCAAAUUAAAAGUUGCCAGAUUAUAGAUGCAGCAUAGAAAGUAUUGAAAAGAUAUGAACUAGAAGCUAACCUUCAUGAACAUUUAGAUAUGACCCAAUUCCAUGACCUGUACCAUGUCGAUAAUCAAGACCAUUCUUCCAUAAAGGAGUCCGAGCAAGAAUAUCAAGAGCAUGACCUGUAGAAAGCAAAAUCAAGGACAUCACUACAAAGAGAGCUCAUCUAAUUAGCAUAUUGUGAUCAAUGAGAAUCUUUUGUCCCUUCACAUAGCUGGAGUGAGAAGGUAGGAUUUGUGGUUGCUGCAUAGCAUUGUUACACAUAGGCUCAAAUUCGAAACUUCAAAUGAGGUCUUAUCCAAGGAUUGUCCGUGCCAUCCGCGCCGUCCCAUGCCGAGGCCAUAACAGCACAUGGCACACGGGCAUGCCGACACCAUAUAAACAAAAUAGUUUUUUUGAAGUUUUAACAGUCUUUUUAAUGUCUUUUUGAGGUAGAAAGUUUUACAAGAUUUUUUCAUACUUGAACUAUGUAGAUCUUGUAAAACUACUAACAUUUAUUACAACUAGAGAGUCAAAUUGCAUAAUGUUGAUCAUCUUUUAGUGAAAAAAAAAAAGAUACAAAUAAGAAGAUAUCCCUAGUUUUUUAUCAUUUUAGAUGUAGUGAAUUUAACUAUGGUAGUAGUUUCCUAUAAAUUUUUACCCAAUUAGGACUUAUGUUUUCACGCAUAUACUUUUAUAAUAUAUAUAAAAUGAUUUUUUUUUUAGUUGUUAUGAUAUUUUUGACUCUAUUCAUAACAAAAUGUCCAAGAUAUAAAACACUUGAGCCAAGUAGAGAAAUUAAAACAAAUUAAAAAGCUUAUUUUUUAUGACAAUGACCAUGCCAAUGCAUGUCAAUCUGCCACUGCCGUGCCACUGGCACAGAGGGGUGUACCAACGGUGACAUGUCUCGUGCCACACUGCCAUGCUAUGCCAUGCCACACCACUGGCAUAGUGGCACAAGCCAUGCCAGUGGCAUGACAAUUCUUGGUCUUAUCAUAAAUACACCUAAGUACUUGUUAAUCAUUUUUGUAGCAUUUUAUAUGUAAACCUUCACAAGGUAAAAAGUUGCUUAUUUUACUUCUGAAUUUUUAACAUAUAUUUCAUAAUUUUAAUAAUUCAAGGAAAUCCAUUAGGCCGUCCUUAUGCCUUCAGCUUAUGCCAUUGUCACUUAUAGUUGUAAAAGCUUUGCCCUAGGCCUCUGUUGAUGAAUGCUGGAGACAGUUUAAGUGCACUUAAAUUCAAAUUAAUACACAAGGAAAAGGUGUUUCAAAUUGGCAUACCAGUUGUCCCAUUAGGAAAUAUGGCAGUGUCCAACGCAAUAUGGCCUUUCAGGACCUAGGUCACCGGGAGAGUAAUAAGUUAGAUUUCCAUCAUUAAUUACAAGUAAACGAUUGCCGCAAACAAUACUAUAACUAAAUAACCAGGAAAAACUUCAGAUUCACCAUUGUACUAAAAUCACAUUGUAACUUGUUGGGCUAAAAUCAACAUAUAACUUGUAAAGAAAAUAUGUUACCAUGUAUUGCUACCACUAGAGGAAGUGGUUCAGAUCAGCUGUCUAAUUACCAAAAAAAAAUUGAGAGCUCAGUGCUUCAAAUUGUGUUAUAUAAUUACGGAAAAAAAUUAUGAACUUGCCAUACAGAUGGAUUCAGGAAAAUACAUUAUGAGGACUCAAACAUCCAUAAAUCAAGCUUAAAGGUAAUCUGACAUGUCAAAUUGAUGUGGCCCAGUUUGGUAACUCUGAGUUGGGUUCAGUUCCAGCAAUUUACGUCCAACUAAAGCUGUAAUAUAUUUAAUCGAGUAUAUUUGAGAUAAUUUUGAUCUAGAACUUGUCAAAAUUGAGUCUCCUCAAGUUUGUUUCCAUUAUGUUUCUUUUUCUUCUCUUUUGACAUUUGAAAGAACUUUUGUGUAUAAAAUUUUGCUGCUUGGGAAGCCCAUAGUGAAGCCCUGAGUUUGAAAAUUAAGCAGUUACUUGAAGGUCAUCCACGUAAACAUCUCAGAUCUCACAUCAAGCUUAAAUUCCGGGUUACUCAACUUCCAGUUGUUUCAGACUUCAGGUUUUCCUCAGCUUUGAAUCAUUUCAGAUUUUCAUUCAGGUUCGGGUUAUGUCUAGUCUUCUAUUGUUUAGGUUAUUCCAUGUCUUCAGGGGGGUUUGGCUUUUCUGGAUUUCAGACCAUUGAGGUUGCAAGUUAUUUGACUUCAAGUCUUAAUUGCAUUCCUGAUAUCAGGUGCAUCAAGUUAUACUUGAACUGCUUUGAAUUUAGGCUAUCUCGAGUUCAGGUCACUUUGUGUUUGGUUUCAGGUUUCCAAUUAUUUGUGUUCUUAGGCUUGCUCAGUGUCAAGUUAUUCAUUUCGGUUCGGAUCAAUUAAAUUGGAAUUCACACUCUCCUUACAAUGAUGGCAAUAAGUCACAUGGCACAUUUUACUUUUAAGCCCAUGGACUAAAAACACAGUAAACCAUAAGGUUGUAAUGCAGGCCGUGCCAACUGCCAACAUUAACCCGUCGAAACAGGCCAGGAACUGGCCUGGCCUGAAUGGGCUUCGAAUCCGAGCCAUGCCAAGCCGGCCUGGAUGUUCCGAACCUAUAGCCCAGCACGGCCCUCAGGCCAGGACCACAUGGCCCGGGCAGGGCCCGGUUGGCCUUUUAUAUAUUUUCUUUAAAUUUUUUAAAUUUAUAUAGAUUUUUUAAAAUUUAAAAGGACCAAAAUACCCCCCAAAAGUUAGAAAAAUCUAAUGGUUAGAGGGAUUUUUUGUCCAAAAGUUUGAAAUUCAAUUUUUUUUUUUACUUUUUUCUUAUAUCUACGCUGGAAGGAACGGGUGUUGGGAAAUAGGCCACCCCCUCCCUCCUUUGUGGGCAGUUGGUCCCUGGACAGUCCAGGGACCAACUCCCCCAAUAGAGGCUUGGGAACUUUUUUUUUGAAUCCUGUAUAUUUUUUUAUUUAACUUUUAAACUUUCUUAUAUUCGUAUUAUAAGAUAUCUAAUAGUUAUUUAAAAACUUUUAAGAUAACUUUUUUUUUAAUAAUUUCAAUAUAUUCAUAAUAUAUGUAUAAAGUAUAAAAAAUAAUAAAAAAUUUUGUUCUAGAAGGCAUGGUCUGCAUCAUGUGCAGGCUGUGCCGGACCGGGCUAUGGGCCUCCUUAGCAGAGCCAGCACGGCCCCUGGCCAUGCCAGGCCGGGCCGGCCGAUGGGGCUGCCUGGCCCGUUUUACACCCCUACUCAGACAGCUAGAAAUAUGGUAAACCACUCGGUCUGUUUUAGACAAUUACACUUCACUUUUGAGGAAACAGUAUUGAAAGUGAACAACCCUCACACACAACACAGACUACAAAAUAGUCGCUCCAUAGAAAAAUAUGCAGAAACUAGUGCAACAAAACCACAUAUAUGCCCCCAUCCAUUCUUCACCUAAUGUUUAGCUGAUUAAAUGAGUCCAUUGAAACCUUACAACCUAAGAUCCAUGAGCUUAAGGUUUGUGUAUUCCUAGUAAACUAAAAAUGAACUCAUAUUUUGACAAGGAUUGGAUAAAGAAAGUCACUUACAGCAGUAUAGCAUGAUUUUUCAUGUGCCGAAGGUUUCCCAAAAUGGACAGUCCUUGUUAUAUCCGUUGUACCAUCCAGAUACUAUAAGAAUAUGCAGUGUAAGCCAAUGACCCAUUGAAAGAAUAUAAUGUAAAACCAUGAAAUCAAUGAGGUAGGUUAAGGAAGCAACAGAAAAGGGCAAAAAAGAAGAGGUGUGGAAGAAACCUGUGCUCCCGAAUCAAAUAGGUAUAUUUUGUCAGCAUCAAGUUCAGAACAUGUACUUGGCUCUGGAGAAUAGUGAAUGACUGCUGCAUUUGGACCAACUGAUGAAAUGGUAGGAAAACUCAAUCCUCUGAAGUGCUGAGGAAAUAAAACAACGGUUAUCAAAAUUACAUAACCAUGAGAGCAAAAUAUGGAAUUUCAACAUUCAUGAUAUGAGGUUUGUUCAAACAACAAAGCUGAAGUACUUAGGCUUAGCUUGGUAUUGAGGCGGAGCUUGGUAUUGAGGCGGAUCUAACGCUAUUAGAUAGAAUGGAGUUGAGAAAAAGUAUAUAGGGAUAUGCUUCUGCUUUCUCCGAUAGGACCGUAGAAAAUAUAUCACAACCGACUAACCACAAUAUAUGGAACGGAAUAUUACAUACGGAAACAAACAGGGUAUUUUCCUAUCGUCGUUUCUCACCGCACGUAACGCAAUCUCCCCGCAAUCCCAAACGAAGCCUUAGUUGGCAAGCAACACGAGUACAAAGUACUUAGUUGGCAAGUAACAUGAGUACAAAUGACUUUCUUAUAAAAUAAGAACCAUGUUCUAUUACAACUUUUCACAUCUUCGUAUGGAAGUUCGCAUACUUCCAUAUCACCAUAGGGGGUAAAACACAAUAGAAGAUGUACAACUAGUAAAACACUAGAAGAUGUAAGAGUAAAAGAUGAUUAUUAAUUCAGAAAAAGAAUGAUCAACAGAUUCCUAUAGUAGCAAGCACGUGAAAAAAAAAAAGAAAAAGAAAAAGUGAAGCAGCCAAUAUUUCCACUAAGGAAAAGAACUAGAUGCAAAACAGUGACAUCAAUAGAAACUACAAGCCAAUGAGUGGCCCGAAAGUUGGGAAGCUUAUAGUUAAAAAACCAUGAAAGUAGUGUCUAUAUUUAUCUCAUCAUCUAUAUUCUAUAGUCUAGCCUGACAUCCCAUGAUACCCUCCUACUAGGCAUAAAUAGGUAAAGACUACAGAAGGAUAUCCUUGGCAUGUAAUGGUGAUUGAACAGGUAUUUUAUAUCAAAUUAUAAGCAAGCAGUCUCAUGUUUGACAAUGAACCCACAUAGGAUGCUCCAAGAUUUCAAAAAUCUACAGUAGUAUCCUAGAUGUUCUAGUUAAUACAGGGUCUGGCACGAACGAAAUGAGUGCAGCCUUUAACCCUCGUAAUUACAGUUAUUUCUGUGACUAAAAUAUGAACAACUAGGACAUGGGAAAAGUAAUAACCAUCGCAUAAAGUGAUACCCUCAUUAUUUGCUCCAUUUGACCUUGUAUAGUACAAUUUUUGCAUUUCCUGCUAUAAUCAAUAGGGGUGGUCAAAAACACAGAGUAUCACAGUGUAGAUUAUUUUCAGUAUGCACAUUUUGUAAUCUCAGUAAUUACAGUACCUAAUCCCCUUAUGUAUAUUGCAAAUUUAUGUAACAACUUGAUGAGCUUGACAGACUAAUGCUAUAGUAAAAUAAGGAAAUGUAGAGAAAUCAAGAUAUUUCAAGUUUUCAACCAUAUUUUUGGCCCUCAAAAAUGAUAAAAUAAAAAGGUGGCCAAUGAGAAAGCUAAUGACCUUGGAAACAUAGUUUAAAGAGAGUACUUAUUCCAUUAGAAAAAUCACAAAGCUUAAAUAGCACUAGAUAAAGCAAACAACAAUAACAGUUAUCAUUCCCAUAAGCAAUCAUUGUGCUGGAAAGACUUCUUGCUACUGCUAGGUAAAAUUCAUUCCUCAAGUUGAUAACCUGAUUGACAGAAUCUCAUUGAAAUAAAAGUUUGUCAAAUAGUUGCCAAGUGACAAUAUAUCAGAAGGCAUACCUCUUGCUUGGCACGAAAACCCUCUAGUUUGUUACUCACAGAUACCUCAGGAAGUUUUACAGAAUUUCUGCAGGAAUCAUAACAGGAGAGAAACGUGACAAUGGUUGAGAAUCAGAUAUACAUAAAAGAGCGGAAGAAAGGAAUGGGAGAGCAGCAGUCAAAUGACAUUACUUCGUGACAAAGUUUCAGAUAUAUACUAUAUACAAUGGUAUCUAAUUUUCCUAAUACCACAGUUCCUCUGUAAAUAAAUUUAUGCCUUAAAUAAUAUUACUUAAAAAAGUUGGAGAAAGUAAAUGGUUUUCUUUGAAGAUUAAGCAGCUAUGAACUGAUAGAUAUACUUUCAGUAACACCAGCUGACCUAGAACUGACAGGAAACAGGAAACAACGGGAAAAGAAGAGAAAUGGAAGAUCGAAAGCAUGAGAUAUUGCAUUAAAGCAUGUCCAUAAAUAAGUAUUAUAUCAUCUCUAAAUUGUAACUUACGAAUGUUUUCUCGUGUUUGACCCAUCUGGCUCAUUGAAGUAACCAGCAGCUCCAUAUAUCUCCUGCAUCUGCAAUAAAAGUAAAUGCAGCUAAGUCAUAUCUGAUAUAUGCCUGGCAAAAAUUGCAACUACUGCAGUAUUUGUCAUCGUAAACUUCCACACUAUGUUGAUAACCGAGUUUGCUCCAGGUUGUGGUGGCAGUUAUUGCAAAUGGAAGGGGCACCUAUGAAAAGAGAAAUUCAAUGAUCGAUUCUCUUAACAGCUUACUAAGACUGCCAACUUGAGCUUCUAGGGGUGGCUAUAAAAGGACAGAUUCAAUGAUCGAUUCUUUUAACAGCCCAUUAAGACUGCCUACUUGAACAGCUUCUCUAAUUCAAAAGGCAGCAGCCAGGUGCACAUUCUUCACUGGCUUAACUAUAUAACUUUUACCAAAUUAAUUGUCUCAUGAUUCACAGAUCAUAUAGAGCUAGAAAAUAUUGGACUAAAGGAAACUAGGAAUGAAUCAGAGCAUAUAACACAUUUUGAAUAUUUUCUUAUUGAUUCCAAACUAAGAUAGUCACCUUCAGGAUGACUUCUAAAAUAAACAGCUGCAAAAAAAUUUCUAAAUAGAUUUAACAGCAUCAGGGUAAUUAAAAGUGAAUACAAUAUGCUAGCUUUCUUUUCUUACAUCAUCACCUAAAAUAUCUGCUGUGGAACUUUCAUUUAUAAAAUAGUUUUUGGUAAAUAGUUUUCCUUCUUGUUCUCAUGUUCUGUCUCUCCUUACUAACCUUUCUACCUGCAUGGUUCUGUACCAAAACUAACACAUUUUCGUGAACAUAAAUAUGCUUUCGAAGUUGUUUGUUGGAGAAAUCACUGUAAGGCACAAAGGCAAUAGUAUGUGAAAUUUAGCUUUAGCUAACCUGAUUAUCUAGCCAAACUAGAUAUUGGACAACAGCAGCACCAUCCCGAAUAUGCGCCUUCCGUAAGCCAUCCAGUUCUGCAUGAUUCUACGCAAUGACCAUCUAAGAAAUUAAUAAGAAUAAACAAUAUUUUCUUAUGUAUCAUAAAAGAAGAACAAUAAAAAGGAAAUUGCAGACAAGAGACGAUAUUUAAAUACUUUCACAUUACCUCAAACAUUUAAUGAUAACCCAAAAAUGCAAAAGCGAAAAAGCAAAGAGAUAUCAAAGAGUAAGUACUGCCACAUAAGUACUUCCAUUUAAUUUAAAUGAUACAUACUACUCAUAGGUGAGUCCACCCCACAAGAAAGAAAAGCAAAAAAUGAAAAACAAAACAAAACAACUAUAAUCAGUUGACACGCAAAAGUAGGCAUAGCCAUCAUAAAACUUGCAAUAAGCUGGUGAUAUCUAGACACAAGAACGCUCCUAGCCUACCAACAACCAACUUAGCAACCAAGCCAAACACAAGGAAUCACCUAUAAUGUACAAUAAGAUGACACAUUAUAAAACAUAUUUCUGACCCUUGACCCCUAAUGAAUCAACAUGGUACUGUCUUUUCAGUAAAAAUAAGAAAAGAGUCUCCUCUGCCAACUCUGCAAGCACAAGUGGCUUUGAAGUUGUUUAACCUUUGUUUUAUGAUGUCUUAAAGUUAAACUUAAAAUAAGAGACUGCCUUAGAUUUCUCCAACAGUCAUUGAGUAAUACAGAGACCUCUACAGCUACUGUAAAACCACUAUGCAGACAGAAAAGAGAAAUGGAUAAAUAUGAAAACAAGUUGAGAUAGUAAGUAUUUUACAUCUUCAAUUGGUUAAGUUAUAAAAAAAUGACGAGCACAAAAGAUUAGCUAUCAUGAUGCAAAGUAGAAAAUCUGAAUGAGAAUUUCACUCAAAAUGAAAACUGCAUGUAGAGAAUGCCAUCCCAGUAAAUGUUUUCAAAACAAUGGUCCUAAAAAUCUAGUAUCAUAAAAGCCGACCUCCAAUACUUUGAAUGAACACCAUUUGUCUACCUCUCCUUCUAAAUUUACUAGGCCUAGUUCAGUUUAGGUUUAAUCAAAACUCAGUUCUCCACAUACGAAGUUCAGUAAGGUCAAUUCCAGAUGACUCCAAACCAAAAUAUAGUUCUAAUAACUUAAGCCCAUUAAGCUCCUCUUCACUGGAAAAGGUAAUCUAAAUGAGAUCAGCUUAUUAUACCUUAACAGCUUUUGCGAGAGCCAAAGGUGAUGGCUGCAUGAAGACCUGAUCAGCAGCUAACUUUGAGUACAGGGCGAGAGAGCAUGAAUUUGGAUCAAUCCAAAUUCUGUUGUUUUUUGUCUCUUCCGCUGCAUUUUCAACAGGUCCUGUCACAUCUUUUCCAUUUUCUUCAACUCCAUGAGCUCCAUUGGAUUUCAGUUUCCCAGAUCCAAGCAAGCUUACAUCUAAGUCGACACUGCCAUAAUCCUUGAUUUCUAUUCCAUUUUCAGUCAUGUAAGCCUGUAUCUGCAUUCAGUCAAAAUUUAUAAAAAAGAGUUGAAGACAUUAGUGCAGGCAUACUUAAAAUUCAUUAAACAUAUACAAGAAUUACCAGCUUAUCAAACCAUGAGUUCUCCUAACAUCCUCUGAUAUAUAACAAAAUGGUUUUUGGACCCAUUAGGCCUAGCUUUUCAGCUUUGGUGCGAUUUGCCACUGGAGCGACCUGUUUGGGAGCCGCUUUUUGGGCUACGGUGUGUCUCACCAGCACAAAUAACAGCUGCACCACUAUACCUCAAGAGCUGAAGCUCUUGCAGAGAGCUCUGCAGCGCAUUCCGAUUAAUGAGAAUUGCUAGGACAAACAGAUCCUUGGCUUAUUUGAUGGUUAUCAGUUGGAAAUCUGACCUCCGUAGAAACUUUUCUUUUGUCCACAUAAAAGAAAGCAGAUUGCAAUGUCACAAUAGCAUAAGCAUGAAUCACCGGGCAGUACGCUACAUCAUUCCCUCGAACAUUGUACAACCAAGCAACCUAAAAAUGCAUGUACAAAAAUAAAUAAGUGACUACUAUAAAUAUUUAUUGUAACAAUAGAUGCAGUCAAAUAAACAAAUAAAAUGUACAAGAAAAAUAAACAAAUAAAAUGUACAAGAAAAGCAUGAAGGGAAAAAUUGAUACCUCAUCAAGAGUUGUGAUAACAAUGCCAUUAGUUUUCUCUUGCAGUAGCUUUUCUCUCAAGUCCUCUAACUUUUCUGCUACACUAUGCCCUGCAACUUCUAAUGGAUGUAUAGAUACAGGCCGAAUUUCCACAGGAGGACGGUCCUUCCAAACUUCAUCCACCAAAUUAGUGGACAGCUGAAAUAGUUUCUGUUUAUUCUUCGCAAAAGCAUGUUCAUAUCUUUGAGCAGUUUCCACAGACACACACCAUGGAUCGAUUCCAACAACAGCGGCACUUGGUAGAUUCUGAAAGAAAAAACACAAUGUUGGGAAGUUAAAUUGAUCUCAUGAUUAACGAUACUACAUAACAAGCAAAUAAAGCAUCAAACUAUACUAUUUUAUCAAUUUGAUAUAUCAUAUCCAGCCAAUCCAUACUGAAGUUAACUCAAGAAACCAUUGCCCAUUCAUGUUGCUAGUAAAUAUAAGUCAAUAAUCCAUCUCUAAGAAGAUGCUGAUCUUAAUCCAUAUUAGUUAUUUCAAAAUUAAACUUGUCACAAAAUGUCGACACGUAAGAACUAUACAAGGGAAAAGAAUAAAAAAAACAAAAAACAAAAAACAAAGUUACCAAAAGAAAAAAUAACUUCUCACAUCAGCUAUCCAAGUUUCAACUCCCGGGUCUUCUCCUAUACGCAUAAGCUUCCAUCGAUUGCUAAGCUGUUGUGUCGCUUGCAAGAAAUAUCGUCCAUCCGUCCACAGCAAUGCCUCACUCAUUGUUAUGAGAGCCAAACCUAUUAAAAGAUGUAAAAUUACAUGUACUCUAGAAUAGCAAGAGCCGACAUAACCAAAGUUUAAAAUCACAAAACAUGCAAACAUUAAUUUGAUGAUCAGAGAAAAUUAUAACCUAAUUACAAAUUCCACAAAAUUCAUUGCUUUGCAAUCCAAUCAUAAGGACUUCUUUCAUCAUUUUCAUUUAUCUUAUCAAUUUUUUUUCAUCUGAUUCCAUCCAAUAUCUAAACAAAAAUAAACCCAUUUGGAGUAAUCAAAUUUAGAAAUUCCAAAUUGUUAUUGUAGCAUUCUUUGCGUAAUGUACAUAAAAUAAGGAAAACACAACUAACUCAUAAUUAUAUCAAAAAAAUAUUCUCUUCCUUUGUUGAUCAUCUAAGCUAACACAGAAAAAGAGCAGUAUAACAACAGUUUCGAGUAAAUAAGUUCAUCUCAAACUAAAUUGGGUUAAAAAUGUUCGAAGCCUCACCAGCGCUUCCGGUAAAUCCCGACACAAAUUGCCUCCUUUUAUCCCUCUCGGAGACAUACUCACUCUGCCAAACACAUUGCACACGUUAGAUAUCAAACACUCCCCACUUCAAAUCAAACUUAGCUACAAAAAUUAAACAGUUUCUACACUCGACAAAACACGGAACCAAUCCAGCCCCCAAGGAGAUCAAUCGAGAUCCUAAACUCAGCCAAAUCGGAAGCGGAGAUGAACCCUAAACUAAGACGAUCGACGAUUCCUCCUCGAUCGAGAGGGGGAACCCUAGGGAGAGAAGGGCGAAGGACCUGGUGGUUGUCCUCGGAGGGGACGACGAGGGCGUCGAGGGGAGGGGAAUGGGACGUCAUUAGGGCUCGAAGAGCGUCGAGGGGAUCCGCCAUGGAUUUCGCUUCGCCUCGCUUCGCCUUGCGGAAUCGGUGUGAUCGUGGGAACGAAAUGGGGGAGGAGAUGGCGUAGCAGUAUUAUCGCAGGGCGCGGAUAUGCUGUACACCGGAGGGGGUAGUGCAUAGUGUGACUCGCUGCGAGGAAUCAACCAUUGAGUGGACCGGGUUCGCCACAUCAUCCAUGGACCGCACCAAGUUGUUGUACGGAGUAUAGUUAUAUGCUUCACAUGAAUUAUUCACAAAUUAUUAAAAAUUCAAAUAAAAAACUGUAUAUAAUUUGUUUCCAAGAAAUCGGAAUAAAACAUGAUUUUUUUGCUUAUAUUUAUUAUUCACGAAUAAUUCGAGUAUGAAACGGAUAAAAUUUUUGGAUAAAAUUUUUUUCUGAAUUAUUGACGAAUUAUUUGUGAAUUAUUAAAAAACUUUAUGAAUUUUGAAAUAUGUGGAUCAUGAAAAAAAAUGAAGAUGAAGGCGACAAUAAAAUUUGCUAUUAUUUUUUUUUAUCUAAUCUACUUUAUUUUGUAGCUCUGUUUUUUAUAUUCUUAAGAAUUUAUAAUUAUGUAUGCUAAUAGUAUAAAUUUAGAGAAAAAAACUUAGUUUAAUAACCAAAUUAUUGAUCUAGAAUUUUUAAUUGGUGAAUGUAUAAUUUUUAUAUAAAUUACAUAUCCGAAAAAUUAGUGAAUCCGUUUUUUAAGCCAUAUUUUUCAACAAAUUUAAAAAUUAAGAUACGAAUUUUAUUUGAAUUAUAUCCGUAAUGAAUUUUUACCGAAUCCGAAUUAACUAACUAUGAUGCGGAGAUACGGUGUCAUAAGUCUGGAACGAGUUUCCAAAAUUUUCACAUCAAACAAUUGGACGGCAUAAUAAGCUACUCAGUAAUAUUUGAUUCGGCAUUAAUUUUUUUUUUUACUGUGGUCGAGAGUUAGGAGUGUUGUCAAAUAUAUGGAAUGAAAUAAUGUAUUUGGUCGUUGCGUCAUUUUUCGAAAUAAAAUUAUCGUCUAACAGAUGAAAUAUAUUACUUUAUUUAAGUAUAAUAAUAAGAUCUUUGAAGAACAAAAAUCAAACUCCCAUCUUUCACUUACAUGAAGAAAUUUUUAAUAUAGAACAAGUUAUUAGAACAAGUUAUCAUCAUAUUACUUAUUCCGACAUCCAAAUAUAAUUUAUUAUAUUACACGUUAAAUACAUUCUGAAUUUUUAUUUUCUAGAAAAUUGGCCACUGCAUGUUCCGCUUGUACGGAAUAUUCUCCUUUGAUAGACCUGUAACUCAAUUGAUUGCGAAAGAAAGCAUCAGGUCCUUUUUUUUCUUUAAAAAAAAAAAAAGAAAAAAAAGAAAAAAAAAAAAAAGCAUAAAGUUCUUUCUACGAAGUAUAUUGUGAAAGUUUGCAACUUUACACAUUUUGUUCACAUGAAGUUGAGAACGGAAGUACGCACUAGUAACAUGAGUUUUGUAAGUUCUCUUAUAUAUCGUUUGGUCAGCAAAAAGCGACUAUUCUAGAAAUAGAUAUAAAUUGAGAUAUAAGCGGGGAUUAGAUUAAUUUUACCUUUUGGAUGAAAAUUGAAUUAUUCCUGAGAAUAAAAAAAAUAGCAUUUGAUUAGGUAAGAUGGAAUAAAAAUUUAAGUGGAUAGUUAUAAAUAAAAAAUAUUGAUAUCAUCUUUUUUUUUAUAUUAAAAUUUGGGAUUGCGGGGAGAUUGUGUUAUGUGCGGUGAGAAAGUACAUUGGAAAAAUACUCUGGUUAUUUUCAUACAUAAUAUUGCGUUCCACAUAUCGCGAUGAGUCGAUUACGAUAUAUUUUCUGCGGUCCUAUCGAAAAACUCAGAAACAUAUCUCUCUAUACUUUUUUCCGAACUCCAUUUUAUCUGAUAGCGUUUGAUAGACCUCAAUACCAAACUAAGCCUAACCGAUUUACCAAACAUACUUUAUUUUAGGGUUAAUUGCAUACAUCUCCAUGUAAAUAUAGUGAAUUUCAAAUAUAUUUCUGUAAAGUUUAACUUUCAUAAGUUAUUUCUACAAAAGUCAUAAUAUUUUCAGAUAUAUCCCUCUAAUUUGUUAUCGUUAGAGAAUCAUUAGAAAACUGUUUAUAUUUCCAAUUUUGCCAUCACAAAUAUGUUCCUCCAAAAGUUAUAACAGCAUAAUACAAAAGGGGUAAAAAGGUCAAAAAUUAACUAGGGUAAAAUAUUUAAUCUAUUGUUAACUAAAUUUUUCUAACGGAUUCUAACGGCAGGAACAUAUAUGAAAAUAUUAAGACUUUUAUAAGGAUAACUUAUGAAAAUUGAACUUUAUAGAAAUAUAUUUGCAAUUCAUUAUGUUUGCGGGAACCUGUAUGCAAUUAACCCUUUAUUUUAUAGAUAAUAAUUUAAUCAUAAAUUUUAAUACAUAGGGUUUUUAGUUAUUGCAAACCAUAUUUGGGGUGUAUGAAAAAAAAAAAAAAAAAAUCUAAAUAUUGAGCUAGGCUGGUAUACUAUCGGUAGGCGGUAGUAUGGAGACCUCCGUACUACCGAGUUGUUUUCAAUGAUGCGGCUUCUAAAUUGACGAUCGGCUCUAUUAGACUUGACCUACACAAUUUAAAGUAGUUGGAAACUAAAUUUCACAAUUUUUCGGCAUCAUUUACCUAUCAAACGAGUAUUAUAAAAAUGAACAGUUGAAAAUAAAAAUCUCAUAAAAACUGAUGAUAAAAGACUUGAAUUUAAGUUCAGAUGUACUAAUCUUACUCUAAAUAGUGAAAAAAAUUUCUAUAAAAAUUUUAUCAAAUUUGGAUUGUUUUACACCGUUAAAUUCACAAACGCAUUACAUCUACCAUUAAAAUUGUCAAUUUUGAGACUUUUUGAUCACUAGCCAAAUGAUGCCAAAAAAUUAUGAAAUUUAAUUUUCAAAUACUUUUAAUAGUGUAGAUCAAGUCUAACAAAGCCGAUCAUCGAUUUGGAUGCCGCAUCAUUGAAAACAAGUUGGUAGCACGGAAUCCGAUAGUAAACAAGUUGGUACCGAUAGUAUACCAGCCCAACUCCUAAAUAUUACCAUAACAAACAAAACUUUCAAUUUAAAAUGAAUAUUUAAAGUUUAUUUCUCACUGAAACAAACAAUGAUUACAAUUGUUAACUGAGUGAUGUUUUCACGAACCGGUCUACUGGACCAAGUCUGAUGUUUUCACGAACCGGUCUACCGGACCAAGUCCACGUAAUAGUUCCUCAUAAAAUGAAUAUAUUAUUAAAAAGUUGCUUUCUCAAUCAGCAAAUGUCCUUUUCAUAAGGUAUGCUAUGCUUGUAAACAAUUUCCGCAUCAUUUUAGUUAUCUAAAAUAAUAAAUAACUAUACUAUUUUUUUGUAAAUAUAUUAUCUGGCCAUAAUAAAUUGCCAUAAUUAAUUGGCAGAAAUAUGCGAAUCACAAUUUAUAAUAAGAUUAAAAAAUUUAAUUAUUAAAUUAUAUAAUUUAUAAAUUAAUAUAAAAUUUUAUUUAUAAGCAAAGUAUUAUUCAACAUUUAUUAGUUUGAAUAUGGUGUAUAAUUAAGAACAUCUUAGCCAACUUAGCUAUACUUGGUCCUGUUUAUUGCAACGUAAGUAGACUUUGGGGUGAUGUGGAUUUUCGGUUGAAUUAGAGUUCAGAUGAAAAUUACUUCACAUCCGCUGUUUGUUUCUAGCAGUGUGAGUGAAGUUCUGUCUGUUCUGCUGUUUAUUUAGCAGGAAGUGAAUGACGUAAAAAAUAUAAUUCUCUACUUCCUCUAUUUGUUUCACCAAAAAUUAUUCAAUCCCCACACCUCUGGUAAACUUACUUCCUACAUAAUAUUAUUGUCUCUUUUCUAACUUAAUAAAUAAUAAAUUAUAAUAAAGAAAAAAUAAUGUAAUUACAUGCAUGUCUAUACAAUUAUAAAAUAAAAUUUAAAAUAAUUAUAUUAUUUUUUUUGUAUAUAAACUAUAAUAAUGCAACAAAUAAAAUUCUAAAGUUAAACAAUUAUUAACAUUUAACAAAUUAAUUUUUUAUCGUUUUCUAAUGUGCAAAUUAAAUAAAAGAUAUAUUAAAACUUAACUAAUCAAACUUCAUCAUAUUUGAAACAUGCAAUCUAAAUAAAAAAAUUAAUUAGUUCCAUAAUUAAAUAUGUUUGGAUGAAAUACAACUAGCAGUAAUUGAUAUUAUACCCAAAAUAACAAAAUGUAUCAUUCAUACCGAUAUCACAUCCAAAAUAAUAAUAUCAUAUCCAACCGACCGUCUCUAGAGCAAGUGGCAAAAGGCUUGGUGGUUGGUACCUGAGAUUCCAAGUUCAAAUCCUAGCUGAUUCACAUUUCUAGCUAAGUUUAUUUCUAAAUUAAAUAAACGAAGUAGGUAGCGUGCUACUUAUUUCUCAAAAAAAAAAUAAUAUCAUAUCCAAAAUGAGAGAGGAGAGAAGAAGAGAGAGAGAGUAAAAAAAAGAAACAUUCAUUCACUUCCUCGUGAGAGAGUAACCCUAAACAUCACCUUAAUUAAGUUCUCGUUCUCUUUUCCUUCACUUCACUUGAAUUGACUUUGCUCUUUGGGAGAGCGAGUCAAUUUCGGUGUUUUGCAUAAACCGGGCUUUCGACCGUAGUAAUAUUACGGUGAAUCAAACAGCGGAAGUAAUCAAUUUUUUGCCGAAAAUCACUUCCUUCCUUUUCACUUACGGUGAAACAAACAUGCCCUUAGAAAUUUCUCUUUACAUCUAAAUUAAAAUCUAACUUAUUAAUUUUGACAAAUUAUAAAUUAUUGACACAGAUUUCUUAUAAAAUGGGAUGAUGACUUUUUCAUUAAAUAAUGCAGGCAAUUAUUUCUCAAUCUUUAGGUACUUUGUGUUAGGAUUUGAUUAGAUUUGUAGUUGAUUUUCUAGUUAAAUAAGAAUUAAUAUUUAAAUUUAUUGAAGAUAAAUUAAUAUUUAAAUAUUAAUUUGAGUAUAAUUUUAAAUAUAUUAGGAUAAAUAUUUAAAUCUAUCGGAGAUAAACUGAAUUUAAAUUUAAAUAUUAAUUGGAGCAGAAAUCCUAAUCAUACUAGGAUACUUACAUACAUUUUGGGUGGAGGCUUAAAUAUAGAGCCAUGGUAUGCAAAUUGUAUAGAGCCUCUAGAGAGUAUCGCUGAGAGAGUGCCUUCUUUGGUGAAACCGUAUCAGAAAAAAGAAAGUCAUGGUUGCAUACACCUAGUGCAUAGGAGCAUGUGAGAGAGAAAAAGAGAGAAGUCUGCUUUUGUGGGUUUAUAGAAGAUGAGAGAAGGGUAGGAGAUUCAAAAAGAGGACUCAGGUUAAAACUACUCUGUUGCAGAAGAGAAGUUAGGUGUAAUCUUCUCUUAUUUAGUAAAAUUUUUUUUAUCCGCACAUUUUCUGUUUAGUUUUUUCUUUCUUUUGUGAUUGUAUCAGUUUUUACUGAAGAGAUGGAUUUAUGAUAAAAAUCCAAUUCGAUGCUUCUGUUGCAGAAUCUCAUUUUUGAAAACGGAAAAAAUGUACAAAAAUCCUUGACCUUCGCUUCUUUGUGAAAAAGCAUAUGAACUCAGCAAUUUUUGGUUAUCCAUAAAAUAAUUCAACAGGUCCUCGUUUGAAUUGAAGUUAUUAAUUAUACAAGUGUUUUGGUUGUAUGUUUUGCAUAUAAUCUUAAUUAUAAAACUGCAAAACAUAAAAGAAAUUAUUAUUUAUUCUAAAAAGCAAAAAAGAUAGAACUCAUUCACCUUACUCUUUAAUCUCCAUGCUUAUUAUCAAAAUAGAAAGAGAAAAAAUAGAUUUUUUAUAUUUUUAAGUUUUACAAGAUUAUUAUUAUAUACAUGAUAUUUGAUCAAAACGAUUGUGUAAUAGUAAUUUUAAGUGAGGACAGGGCCUACUAAACUAAGUGAUUAAGCUUAAGAGGUCAAACUGCUAAAAUUAAAAGUUUAGAAAUUAACAUGUUUACCAAAAAAGCUAAGGUUUUGGGGGUCUUAAUUUGUAUGAUUUUUAUUUUAAAAAUAAAUAAUUAUUUCAUAUGGUAUUGAUCGGAGAAAAAAAUUCUGAGUUCAAAUCCUGUUUGAUUCCUAGUUUUUUUAAAAAAGAAAUCUCCUGGCAUAUUGAGAGAAAAGAAUUAAUGAGAAAUUAAAGGCAAAGCAAAGAACAUGUAAGCUAUGUUUGUUUUGCUAACACUAAAGAACAUGAGUGAGCUAAUGCUUGUAAUCUAAGCUCACGACUCGCAACUUUUUCUUUAUCUUUUGAAUGAAAAACAGACACACUGUUUUUGAAUCUUUCACCAAAAACUUUCAAAGUUGAAAGUCGAUCAAUCUAUCGGAAGUUUGAAAUUUUACUAGAUAAAAAAUACGAAAUUGAAUUGAAAUUUUCAGUUCAGAUUUUAUUUUUUCAUCUAUUUCCAGUUCGAAUUCUCUUCAGGCUUUUUUUUUUUUUUUUUUUUUUGAAAAACUGAGAUAUAUAUUUGACUCAGAUUUAGCUUUUUAGAAAAAAUUAAUCAAACAAAUGGGCACCCCUUAUGUGUCUUCUCCACCCUCCCUUCUGUGAAACAACCGUUGUACUCUAAAAGCUUAAGCUGUUCUCAAUAACCGUUGUACUCUAAAAGCUUAAGCUGUUAGAGAACAGUGUUUAAAUAUUUUUAUAUUUAACACUCCCCCUCACGUCUGGGCUCGAGACUUUUUAAUCGGCCCAUGACGUGGGCUUGAAUUAAAUGGGAGAAAAUUAAUAUGCUAGGAGCCUGGCGUGACUCGAACUCAGGACCUCCUGCUCUGAUACCAUGUGAAACAACCGUUGUACUCUAAAAACUUAAGCUGUUAGAGAACGGUGUUUAAACAUUUUUAUAUUUAACACCUUCAUCCAUGCAUAGUAUGUAAAUUCAUAAUCAAAUCAGGGGUAUUAGACCUUUCGAGACACACAAAAAAAGUUUUAUCUGUCACAGUUAUUCUACAUGAAAUUUACAACAUCUAAUCAUACGUCACAAUAUUGUAUAAAGGUACAAGGAUAAAUUCUUUUUAAAGCAUUAUUUUGAUGUACAAUAAUUGAAUUCGUCAUUAUCUUACUUGACGCAGUAUGAUUGAUUUGAAAUAUAUUCUAUUUGUUGUAACAUUUACAAAGAAGAUUUUUUUUUUUCGAGGCAUCAUAGAGCAUCGAGGCAAGUAUACGGCAUCUAUUAUAUAUCCAAUAUAGGCCUACAUUUGACACAACAAAACUAUUUAAGUUCUGAAACAGUAAAAAUGCUUUCUAAGAUUUUGGGAGACUCUUUGAUGAUUUUGGUGAUUUUCUUUUCUAAAUUACUUUUUUGUGAUCAUUCCAAAAGUUAUGUCUUUGGUGAAGCUCAAAGUUAGUUGGUUCUUAAUUACAUGGAAAAGUUUUGAGUGCCAGAAUUUAGAUGAGCCUAGAAACUUUACUUCAAGGGAAGUAGUUAAGUCGAAAAUUGGAUAAUUGUAAGUCGUAAAUAAGCUUCUGAUUUAUGUUGUAAACAAUGUUGUACAAUAUAAAAGGAAAAAAAAAUCUUAUUUAUCUUUUAUCUAACAUGCAUGUUAAAUGGUCGAUCUGCAUUAUGCACAAGUGUGAUAGUUACUUUUCUGGGAGGAAAAGAAGCUAAUUAUAAGUUGCGUUUCAAACGGAUGGAUGAUGUGCUCAGUAUUAUAUUAUGGUUGGCCAGUUUAGCCUAGGUUUUGCAGUACAAGCAAAGGCUACUUAUAUAUAUCAACUGAUCUUUCCUUAAUGAAAUUGUAUUAAGAGGCUGCUACCUUAACCCUGUCGAAAAAAUAUAAAAAAAAAAUUGCAUUGCAGACUAUUUAGAUUUUUUUUUUGGAGAAGAAAAUAGCAUACUAUCUGUUUCAUUCAUUAUAAGUAUGAAUUAAGCAAAUAUGUAAGAUAAAAGAAAACCUCAACAAAAAUAAAAAAAAUCCUAAAAAAAAUUCUAAAAAUGUUGGCUUUUGGCGGAUAGAAUAAUCUUCCAGUGGGUUGCCAUUGUCAUGAUCUUAGGUACCGUCAUCAGAGGGUCUGCGUAAGUAUUUCUAAAAAUAGCACUAUUCCUUGAAUCUCAGAUGACCCACCAACAGACUAUUUAGAUUUUUAAUUGAUUGAUCAUAAGUAACGGAUACAAUUAUGUGAGAACUACUCUGUGUUCCCUCGUACCCAACUUCCUAACCCAUGUUAGUUAGUUGUUGCCAAUUUAAGUUUAAAAAAAAAAACGAGAAAAAAAAAACAAAAAAGUUGAAGUCGGCAGUCGAAGAGGACAAGAUAUAGGGACGACGCCGACUUCUUAACACCUCCACGCUGACGUGGAGGCAAGCUCCCGCCCGCGCCAGCUCAGCACCAUGGACCCCACCCUGGGCCCCACCAACCCCCUCUCCACCCUCCUCACCGCCUCCUCCCCCGCCCCCGCCGCCGCCGCCGCCUCCGCCGCCUCGAGCACCGCCGCGUAGUACUCAACACCCCCCUCCACCGCGCGCCUCAGCGACCCCGCUCCGCCGCCGUAGCCCUCGGCGUCCACGAGCACCGCCGCGCGAGGCGCCGCGCGGCGGAGGAACCGCACCGCCGAGGCGCACGAGGUCGACGGAGAGGCGGAGGCCGAGGCCGCGCGCGAAGUCGCUGAGGUUCUCGGCGGCGAGCGCGGCCUCGGGGGUCUCCUCGGCGACCACGGCGGUGACGCGGAUCGCCGGGGGCUGCGGGGCGCGGCGCGCGGCGACCUCGUGGGCGAAGGAGGACCACUGGCCCCCGAGGCCGAGGUCGAAGUCGACGACGUGCACCGACGCCGCCGAGCCCGCGGCGUCGAAGGCCUCGAGCAGGGUUUGGUUGGCGGUGAAGCUCGCGAACUGGGGGACGGGGGAGAGGUCGGAGAAGGCCUUGUGGGCGCCGAUGCGGCGGACGACCUCGGCGGCGGAGAUCAUCGGCGGCGGCGCCGCCGCCGCGUGGGGGGCGCCGUGGAGGAGGGAUAAAAGAGCCUCCUUGAAGUAGAACGCGGCGCGCUGGAGCGGGGGGCCGAGCGGGGCGGCGAGGUGGGGGUUGAGCCGCGCCAGCGCGAGGUCGGCCGAGUGGGGGUCGCCCGACUCCAGCGAGUCGGCGGCGCUGAGGAGCAGCUCGAGGUGGGGGCGAUCGAAAGGAGGAGUGGUUAGGGUUUCGAAGGGGUCGGAGAAGGGGGAGGGGUCGAAGGAUGUGAAUUGGGAUUGGAAUUGGGGGAGGUCGAGGGCGAGGUCGCGCUCGGAGAGGAUCCACGAAGAGAGAGGGUCCCACUCCGCCGCGGCUGCGGCGGCGGAGUUGGAGUCGGGGUGCUGCUGCUGCUGCUGCUGCUGCUGCUGCGGCGGCGGCGGAGCGGCGAGGCGGUGGAGGUCUCCGGCGGCGGCGGCGGCGGAGGAGGGGGAGGAGGUGAGGUGGGGGUCGAGGACGGAGGUGGGCUCGUAGUAAAAGGUAGUGGAGGGGAAAGGAGAGGUGGUUUGGUGGUGAUGGUGGUAGUGGUGGUGGUGGUGGUGCGGAGGGGAGGAGGAGUCGGCGCCGAGUUUGGUGGGGAAGGUGUGGGAGUCGGCGACGAGUUUCGUAGACUUCAUGUGACUCUCAACAAUUAAGCAACACUCCCCCCACUCUCGAUCUACGUUAAUUUAUGAGCGCGUGUGUGUGUUUUGUAUCGCUGUUGGGAUUUGGGAAGGGGAAGUGGAGGGUUUUACGUCGCAGGGAGGGGGAUUAUAUGGGUGGUGGAAUGAAUGAUGCUGAUGCUGCUGCUGCAGAUGAUGGUGAUGAUGGUGAUGAUAUGAUAUGAUGAUCAUGAUGAUGAAAAAACAUAAACAUAAAUAUAAACAUAAACAUAAAAGACGAUACAAUUGGACAUGGGAAACAAGAUUCAAAAGGGCUCUUUUAACGUGGUUCGGCUUCUGGGAGAAGCCGUCGCCAUUGGAAAGUGUCACUCAUGGAGGCCUUUUCUUUUCCUUUCUUCUUCUUUUUCUUUUUUUUCUUUUUUUUUAUUUUUUUUUUACCUGCAUGUAUUGACGUGUGAAUUGACUCGUAGCAGUGUCAUUCACGCUACGUCUACUACAGCCUGGAGACUACGGGUCCUAAUUCAAUAGUUAUAUAAUUUUUUUACUUUCAAACUUUAGUUAUUUUACAUUUUUUAAAUCUCUUAUUUGGAUUUUAGUUUAUUGACAUUCCAGUAUAAUAAGAGUGCAUCGCAGGUAUUUGUCAGGAUCGUUGGUACUAUCUAUUAAUUCUAAAAAUUCGAGCCGUUAAAAAUACGAUACGCAACCGAUUCAUUUAGGGCGUGUUUGGUUGCCCUGUUUUUUACUCUGAAAUUGCAAUCGGAAUGGCUGAAUCCGUUUGUCCAUAUUUGGUAUACGGGAUUUUCAUUCCGACUUCGAUUUCCAAAUGAACGAUAAUCCUCCCAAUUACUCAUUUUUUCAAUUCAGCCCUUUGAAUCUGGACGGAAUGAAUUUGUUCGAAUUAAAUUUAACUUUUUUAAGCUUAUUUUUAAUUAAAAUAUAAGUUUAAUUUUAAAAAUUAUAAUUAUAAAAUUUAAUUUUAAUUUGAACUUAAGUUAAAAUUUAAAAUUCAAUCAAGUAUUUCGAAUCUAAUUUAUAAAUUUGAAUUUAAAUUUAAAUUUAAUUUAGAAUCUAAAGGUUUUAUUCAAAUUUUAUUUAAAAUUUAAAUUAAAUUUAUGGAUUCAAAUUGAAAUUUAAUUUAUACUUUGAAGUUUGAAUUUUAAUAAAUCAAAAUUUAGUUUUUUUAUUUUGAUAUCCGUUCAAUUUCAAAUUUUAAUUUUUUUUAAAAUAUAUUUUAAAUUUUGACUUAAAUAUAUUUAAUUUUCAAUUUAAAUUUAAACUAAUAUAUUAUAAUAAUAAAAUUGACAUAUCAAUUUGAUUACGUUUCUGAUAUCUAUCUGAACCAAACAUCAAUAAUAGGAAUGGUUUAUUCCGAUUUUGAUUCAGAUGGCGAACUAAAUAGAAUGAGAUAAUGAAUCAUUCUGAUUCCAUUUUCAGCUUAUUCUCUUUGAAUCAAACACACCGUUAAAGCGUACAAACACAAUGCCCACGGGUCCAAUUGUGAUUUGGCGCAACCAACCUCACGCCACUUCGAAUAUAACUCGGUCCUAUUCAAUCUCACACCAUUUUAAACAUGACUCAGUCCAACCUGGCCUCCCGUCAUAGGGAAGAAUACUACCGACCCCUUUAAGCUAACAGUAUUUGUGGCAAUGAGUAACCUACAAAGGGAACCAACACAUUUUCCCUUCUUUACUUUUAUACAAUUUAUAAAACUAGAUUUAUUAGACUUUGUUCUUCUACUCUGCGAUGCGGUUUGAUUGAUUAGCACCAUUUUUUUUUUUCUUCCUCUUGAGGCCCCUGCUGCCUCACUUUAUGUAGCUAAAUUUAUUGACUGAAUAAAUGAAGCGUGCUAUUUUUUUUCUCAAAAAAAAAAGAGAAAACGUAUUAUAUCAAACCUAGCUCGCGAUUAAAUAACAAAUACGUAACUUGUGAAUGGUAAUGCCAAACUGCAUGCAUUUGAUAUGCGUCAGAGCUAGCUAAGAUCAAUGUCGCAAUUAAUACAGUUAUAUUUAAUAUUGCCACCGUUUUCUAGUAACUGCGAGAUACUACAUGACACAAUAACUUCUUCUUUUUUUUUUCCUUUGAUAAACAAAAACACAAAGUAAUGUUAAAGUAAAAAACCCAUAUAUAGGUUCUAAAGGGUCCCUAUAUAUGUACUUACUAAAGCUCGUAGGAAACUGAUGCGAAUAUAUAUACAGGUGAAGAAGAUAAGGUGACAUGAUCAGGGAGAUCAAAGCUAAACCACAUAUCCAAAGAAUCCCCACCACCUCAUUAGGGUCCCUCAUUAGAUAAGACUGUUUCCUUGAUGGUCUAUCUCUCUCCUUACAAAUGGAAAAUUAAUCAAUCAUUGCCUGCACCCGGUGCAUGCACCGUGUCAGUCGCGUGUUGCACUGCACUGUCCAUAUCCCUUCAUCCAACUUCAUACUUCUCGCUCGACCGUUAAACGUUAAAAAUAAAUGCUUUUCAACUUAGGGCACGGUUGAACGCGUGAUCACAUACUGUUCCGCAUAUUUACUUUGUUCAGUGAAGAGUGCGAUUAGCUAGCUAAGAUGUCUACAAUUAUUUUUACUGAUCCGUGAGAUAAAAUAGCCUCCUAACUGCAUUAUCCUAACAAAAAUGAAAGUGGCCGUUAGCACCUCAGAAGGGCCAAAGCUGAACUCUUAUUAAAUCGUAAAUUGUUGUAGAAUAACUUUUCAUGAAUAUCCAAACAUGUCUUUUAGAGAAAAUUGAAACUCUUUAAACAUGCUGUAGAGAUUUAGACCAUACAUGUUUGGAUGUUAGAAUAAAUUAUCCAAUGAUAACUUAUUCGGUAUGAAAAUUAACUUGUGUAACUAGAAGAUCUUAGCAUUCAUAAUUUGACAGAACAACAUAUUUCACUUACGAUGCAAUUGUCUUAUUCUGAAAAAAUAACUUAAUGGCUGAAUAUGGUAUCCACUCUAACCAUUUGAACAUGCUUCUCGUUAAUUUACCAAAUGCUACAUAUUUUGUAAGUAAAUUAUAGGGAUACGUUUUGGAUAUAUAAAAUGUUGGUGCAUUCAAACAGAACCUUAAAGUAGAUCAUAUCUCUGGAGGGAGACGAGUGCAACUACGGUGCAUGCAUGCAUGCAUGCAUGGUGCAUUGGGUGCACGCAUGCAACUAAUAUAUGUUUAUCAAUUUCUCUUUUCCCCAACAUCUAACCCCAUCUCUCCCCUUCUCCUUUUUCCAUGAGUGGAUUAUAAAUGAUGCUCCCUUUCUAUAAGGCUUUUCCCAUCAGAAUAUGACGGGCCUAAACUUUCGUGUAACACAAGCCUCUUCUCUUCCUACAAGCUUAUAACGUGUAGGAACCGUGUCCUAAACCCUAGCUAAUAACAAAGCUCCUCACAAGAUAUACUUUGAAUAUGAUCAUUGAUUGACAAGAAAAGCCACAAAUGAUGAGAAUAUUACUUGUGCAUUAUAGGCACAUGUUGUGGCCUAUCGUUGUUGGAUCUUUUUAAUUAAUUACUCAUGGGAAUUUCAGCCAUAGUGGACAUCAGUGUCAUUAAAGUUGGUUUGUUUUUGCUGAGAAUAUAAAAAGAUAGAGAAAAAAAUAUAUAUCCUACUUAAUUAUACAAGUUUUAUAUUCUUUACUUAUGCUGAUGCGUCAGUUUCUUAUAAUUUAAUUAACUUUGCAGAAAACCACCAUAUAUCCUAUAUAUAAUCUCAUAUUCAAAGUAAUUAUAAAUAAUUUCUCCUAAUUAGCAUUUUUUAAUGCAGGCUUCGACUUAAUUAGACUCAGUAUCUCUUACAUCUAUGUAUCUUCUUUACUAUUUAUAUAUUUCCACUAUUAAAUCUACUCAUUGAUUAAUUUCAUCUGUUAGAUUAUACUAUUGUACCAAUCAUUCACUAAACCGUAGGGGAUCACUGUCAUUCCAACCCUAUAAUUUCAGCACAACUCUCUCUCUCUCUCUCUCUCUCUCUCUAUAUAUAUAUAUAGUUAAGAUAAGUGUCCUAAAAGCGAAUUUGUUGAAAAAUCUUUUGCUCACUCACAGAAGUAUUAUUAUUAGAGAAAUACGAAAUCUACAAUCCAAAAAAGGAUGCUGCAGUAGUAGAAUCCUUAAUCCAAAGGUUGUAACCUGGCUCUCUGGGGCUCAAAAAAUCUUUUUAAAAUUUCAAUAUAAAAAAGUAAUAAAAUUAGUAUUAAAAAAUUUGGUCAGUAAAUGAUGGAUUUAUAGGAUUACAACCCCAUUUGGGUUGUAGGAAAAGCACAACAUACUCUUCAUGCACUAAUCUUAUCAAAGAUCAUUAUUUACUUAUAUGGAUGUCUCUGUUUCUUCCAGUGAAGGUCUUUAAUAUUAGAUGUAAUAUAAUUAGAUGUUAUAUUUAUCAUUUUGAUCAUAAAUCGUGUCAUUUUCUGGUGAAUUACAUUACGUGCCCAAUAAAAAUCUUUCAACUCAGCAUGUUAGUAAAAAGUUAUAAAUAUAUAUAUGUACAUGAUAUAUAUCAUAACUUUACUUAUGGAAAGCUAGCUUUUAAUUAAUACGUAUCUUUAACUUGGUAGUUAAAGGUGCCCUAUAUAUCCUUGAGGAAUAAUGAUCCUUAAUUUCCUGGGGAUUUAUUAAGAUACAUGCAUGCAUGCAUGCAACUUUCAUCUUUCACCUUUUUGUGAGUGCGGCUAUUAAUUAUUAUCUUCUUCUGAUUGAUCCACUACAGUUCAAGUUAAUUAAUUGAGCUUCACUUAUAUAUAUAGUUAUUUAAUUAAUUUACAUCUAGGGUUUUGUUUACACAAAUGGGGUAUAUAAUUGCUAGUUAAUUAACUUUAUAAUUUGCUAUAUGAUCUACAUAACUACAUAAUUAGGUACGUAGUUCCCCUAAAAAUAUACCUAAUCAUUGGUUAAAGCUUCUACUAGAGUAUCGCAUCCCCUUUUAAACUCAAAAAAAAAGACCACUUUGCGCUGCAGUUUGUUUACUGUUUAGAUGAGAACAUAUAUUCAAAAAUAAUUUGCUUUACAUAAUAAAUUGCUGAAAAAUAAAUGUUUAGUGUUUUAGUGUUAGAAUCUUGUGUUCAAACUAGUAGGACAAGUAAUUAUUUACUUACAAAUAUAUACUGAUCUAAAUGUGGCAGUUUAUAAUAUUGUUAUCUAUAUGAAUUACACCACUCUUCUUGUGAAUUACAUUAAUCAUUCAAUAAAAAUCCUCCACGUCAGCAUAUUAGUGAAAUGUCGUACAAUUAAUACGUACGAAUGUACUGAUCAUGUACAACAUCACUUGUAUAAACCUUUUAAUACAUAUAUUCAAUUUGUUAGGUAAAAUAACCUUUUCCUGGGGAUUUGUUAAGACAUGGAUGCAACUUUCACCUAUUGUGUGUGGGGCUAUUAUUUAUCUUAUUCAUGAUCACAGAUCCACAAAAAAGUUCAAGUUAAUUAAGAUUAAACUUCACUUACACUAACAAUAUAUAUAUAUAUAUAUAUAUAUAUAUUAUAUUAAAUAUAUAUAUAUAUUAUAAUAUAUAUAUAUAUAUAAUCAUUAAAGUUAACUCUAAAUUGGAUACGAUCAUCCGUAGAGCAAGUGGCAAAGGGUUUGGUGGUUGGUAUCCGAGACCCAAGUUCGAAUCCUAGUUGAUUCACAUUUCUAGCUUAGUUUAUUUCUAAAUGAAAUUAACGAAGCGGGUAACGUGCAUCUAUCUCUCUCGAAAAAAAAAAAAAAAAAAAAACUUCUAAAUUGCAUUAAAAAGAUCACAUUUAUUGUAGCUUCUUUACUGUUUAAAUAGGUGAGAACACAAAGGGAUAGCAUGCUACCUAUCUCUCUCUCAAAAAAUAAAAAAAAUAAAAAAAAAUAGAAGGUUAAAAAUCAAAAUAAAAAACAUUAAUUUGGUGAAGAGCAAAUACAAAAGGCUGGAAUUAAUUAACAUCUUAUAUGAGAGAAUACUCCAAUUAGCUAGUUUCUUGGUAGUUUAACAUAUUUUUUAUUUUACUAGAUGAUUUGAAAAAAAUCAUUUCUAUAUUCUGUGAUUUUAUUUUUAUUUUAUUUUAAAUAUUUGCCGUUUAAUAAGAUUGUAAAGUUCUACAUUCUAUAAACCACAUAUUAAUAAAAUAAAAUGUAAUAAUAGUUCAUAAAUUUUAUUGUAUUAUUCUAUAGCUGUAAAUUAUAUUAUUUUACUUAAUAAAAGAUAAGAUAAAACUUAGAUAAUAAUAAAAUUAUUUGAGCUGAUAUUGUUUAGGGAUGCAAACAAAACGGAUCCAGAACGGGAGAAUUUUUUCAUCUCCCGUUUUAUUUUUAGGCGGGACGAAACGGAUUUAGAACGGAUUAUUUUUUAUUUUAUUUUUUACUCCCACUUAUCACUCCAUUCGAGGCGGAUCGGAGCGGAAGCGAAUUUUUGACGGAUUGAAGAAAAAAAGGGUCUCCCGUCUUUCGCUCCGGUUACUUAACGGGUCGGAAUGAAUUCGAGACGAAUUAUAUUUUUCUAUAUUUUUUGCUUUUACUUACCACCCCAUUCGAAGUGGAUAGGAGCGAGAGCUCCACCAACCCGGAUCCAUUUACAUUUCAGUUUUUAUUUGCAAACAAUUUAACGGACAAAAUCGCUCGUGGGCCCACCGGCCCACCACGGAACAUAUUCCCUUGUGACGUCACACUCUCAACUCCUUUUCUUCUCUUUUUUUUUUCUGAUUUUUUUUUUUUUAAAUCUAAAAGGUCAGCGUGGUCCGCACGCUGACACGAGUUAGACCCGAACAUGCACAUGGCAUGCUCAUGCAUCACAGCAUACAUGCAUGCAUGGUCAUCACAUGAAACGGGACAUGGCCGACAAAAGCGCCAACGUGGGGCCCGCGACUAUGCAGCCGUGUGCUCCGCGGUGCGACACGUGGAUGCGCGUGGGUCCCAGCUUUGUUGGGGCACUAUCAAAAAAGUGGGAGCCGUAAGUCUCGUGCAAAAUGUUUAAAGAAAAGUUUUUUUAAAAAAACAAAAAUAUUUUAUUAAAAAAAAAAAAAAGAAAAACUUCAAAUACCCCCGGUGAUUUCGUGCUUUCUCACUUAGUACCUGUGAUUUAAAGUGUAUCAAGUUAGCAUCCUAUGGUUUCGCACUUUCUCACUUUAGUACCCUGUGGUUUAAUAUUUCGUUAAAUUAUUUAUAAAAACUUUAGUUACACUAUCUACAUUUAUCGAAUAUUUAUUUUAGUACCUUUUAGUUUUAACUUUGUCACUGAUUUAACAAAAAAAAUACCCCGAAAUGAAUAAUAAAAAAAAAUAAAUAAAACCACAGAGUACUAACUUGAUAUAAAAAUGAAACCACAGAGUAUUAACUCGAUACACUUUAAACCAUAGGGUACUAAAGUGAGAAAGUGUGAAACCACAUGAUACUAACUUGAUACACUUUAAACCAUAGGAUACUAAAGUAAAAAAGUGCGAAACCACAGAAAAUUUUUAAAGUUUUCCCAAAAAAAUAUUACUAUUUUUCUAUUUUUGCAAAAGUAAGUCUUUUUUUUUUUAUUUUUGCAAACUUAGGCUAAAGUUUUUUUUAAAACUUAUCAAAAUAUUCAGGUGCCUUAAACACUUCAUCUAUCCUCCUUUCUCUAGCCAUGCCUCCACCACUGGCGGCAUUUUCAAGCAUUUUUCUCAUGUCCACCAUCUCAAUGCUAACUCUUCUGUCGCGUUCACGUAAUGAACACCUUACGAGCGAAUGGAAUAUGGUGAACUCAUGCUCAUUGUCGUGACCACUCAAAGCGCUUCGCCGGAGGCAAACGAAAGUAGCAAAGGUGGACAGCAACGAUUGCUGGUCGAGAAUGCUUACGAAAUAUGUUUAUAGUGAGCAUGGCCGAUGGCAACGAGAUGGUGGUGGUAGUGAGAGGAAAAAUUUAGUGGAUAACGCAAUAUUGCACUAUUUCUUAAAAAAUUGUACUAUUCAAAUAUAUUUUGCAAUAUUUAGCAACAAAGUUAUACUAUUUUGCUAUUUAAUAUAUGUAUCAAAUAGUGUAAUUUUUUGGCUAAAAAGUGCAACAUAUAUUCGAAUAGUGCAACUUCUUUUUUAAAUAGUUCAAAAUCGCGUGUUCCUAAUUUUUUUUCUCUCACUAUCACCACCACUUCACCCCCGCAACCAUGCUCGCAAACCUACUUCAAGAGCAUUCUCAAUCAGUGAUCAUCACCCUCCUCCGCCACCUCCGCCUUCAUCUUCGAAAAUGCUGCGAGCAGCACCACCCUCGUCUAUCCGCAGUGACCUCGCUAGAAAACACCAACAGCCACAACCACAUCCACGACCGAGUCAUGCGUCGUUAUUGUUCUUUUGCUCGUGCAUGAGGUAGGGGAAGAGUGAGGGGACGCGGGGCGAUGGAGAAGGUGUGAGAAAAAAUGGGAAGAGAAAGAGAGCAAGGAGAGAGAAUAAAAAUAUUUUGGUUAUUUAAAAAAUUUGGGGUGAAUAUAUAAAAGCGGAAAAAUGGCCCUUUUUUGAAAAAAUUGCACAACUAUUGAUUUUUUUUUAAAAAAAUACUUUUAAAGUAAUAAAAUUUUAAAUUAUAAUUUAAAAAUUGAAAUCUAGCAUAAAUUUGGACCGCAUAAUUUUAAUAAAAUAAACAGAUAAAUGUAAACAAAAUAGAGCACCAUUUAAAAUUUUUCAGAUUAAUUUUAAAAUAACAUACAGUUUUAAUAGAAUAAAGUGAAAAUAACUCAACGGAAUAACUAUACCAUUGAAUACAAUUUAAGUUUUAAAUUUAGUGCAAAGAUUACUAUUUUAACAUAAUUUAUAUGGUAAAUUACACUCUUGGUCAUCGUACUACGAGGCACGUGACCUUUUGAUCUUCAAACUUUAAAUUUGGAAUUAUUUUAGCUCGAACUUUGUAAAUUGUUACCAUUAAAUCUCACAAUUUAAUUUUUUGAACUAAACAUUGAUAAUUCGAUAAUGUGAAAGUGAUAUAGAUUGAUGAUGCACUAAUAGUAAAAUACUUGAUUAUAAUAAUUUAUAAAAUUUGAAUAAAAAAUUAUAGUAAACUAAAAUUUAAAAGAUCAAAAUAUCACACAUCACACAGUUUGGGGACUAAAAGUGUAACUUAUCCUAAUUUUAUAUUAGGCCCGCCGAAUCAGAAGAUCCUUGGGGCGUCUCACACGGCAACAAAUUCAGCUUAAUUAGACUUAAAAAAAGGGGAAAAAAGUUUAAACUUUCUCAAUUAAUCUUAUAACGUAAUAAUCUUAUCUAACAUAGCAUGGCACCAAGAAAAGCAAGGCCCUUUCAGUAGACUCAAGGAAAAGAGAAACAUGGUUAGAAACCAAAUGUAAUAAAAAGGUGGAAAAAGAGCAACACAGGAGUAUCAUCUCGAGUGCGUUAAUCCCACAAAUUUCUACGAAUGGAGAGCAACUCAAUACCAAAAGCAAGUUCACUGGGAUUUGAUAUUCCCUAGAAAAUCCUCCUGUAACACCAUUUGUAUGGUACAGAUAGAAAAGAAGAUAUCAGUGCUACUUUCUAAUUAUAACAUGUUGGUGCAAAGAACUAUUUAUCUACAAAAGGAAACAACAGUCGGUGACAUGAUUCAUGUGCCGAAUGCGGUGAUAUACGAUACCACGACGGUAAUGUCGUCGAGCUUUCCCCCGUAGUAUCGAUAUCCUGCGUCCUGGGCGGCGCUCGAGAAGGGUGUUUGCCGGUUCUUAUCCAGGGCCCGCUGGCGAGCCAGAGCGGCUAUCUUCUGGGCGGUCACUUGAGGUUCCAAUCCGGCCCGGACGGCGUGAACGACCACGGCGGUGAUCUCGUUGUUGUACAAGUUAUCAAAUAGCCCGUCAGUUCCCGCGACGACAACAUAGCCGGAUUCGACAGGAACAGUGAAUACCUGUUCAGCACAGAAGUAGGGAAUGUUUGAUAGCUAUACUGCAGUAACUUUAUCUGACUCUUUAUUUAUGUAAAAGGCCUGCAAGCCAGAUAUUCAGAACGAAUAUGUAACAUAUUAGAGGAGAAGAUGAACAUACCUGGGCAGCACUAGGCAGGUCACUUGAAUUGCCACUCUCAAGCUGGUAAGUAAAAUUGAAGUCAUGCUGCUGCACAGGUGAUCUGAAGAUUGUGCAUCCAUCUCUAACAACUAUGAAGCCACUGUCGCCAAGGUUCACCGCACGAAUUCCCUGUAACCAGAAAGCAAACUAAGAGAGGUUAGCCAUUAGAGAUGCCUAGAAAAUUAUAAAUGCCGAACAUAAAAGGAAAGUUCACACCCUUCGGUCCUCUGAGAGAAAUUUUUCGAUAGAAAGGGAAAAAACAAAUCUCCCAUUACCUUCUUGGGUUAUUUUGUUUAAUUAGCAGGAAAAGAGCAGCAUAAGAAUUUUAUUAUUUGAUUUGAUGUGAAGCUUGUUCCUGAAUAGUAAUAACUCCACUUAUUUGACCAUGACAUGAACAGUUCACGAGAAUAUGUAUGCAUGAAAAGGUUAUCCCUAAUGCAGUAAUUGCCUUGAGCAGAAAGAAUAGUGCUGUGAUUGUUUGUUAUUCUAAAAGCUCUGCGAGCAAGAACUCCAAAAGAAUAAAGAUUUGAGUGGAGCUAUGCAUGAGAAUAUACAUAUGUAGCUCCACCUAAGCACAAAUGUAAAUACACGAAAAUGCCCAUUAUGCAGCAAAUUUUUAUUUUAUUUAGUUCUUGAAUACCAUGGCAAUUUCUUUUACCGGAAUGCAAAGAAUUUGCCAAGAACUUCAGCUCAACCCCACAAACCUCAAUUUGGCAUAACGUGGGUUUGUAUAUUUGAUCCGUCUAAAUGAACCUCUUUGGAAACACAAUCCUAUUUUUUGUGACUAUCCAACUCAAGCAGCUAAUUAAUGCUCUCCUGUAAUUCCCCCCUUGUCACUCAAAUUUAUUCUAAAUAAUAAUAAUACUUUUUCCCAAAUCUAAAACAGAAAGAUCUCUAGUCUCUACUAAUCACCUAUAACCAUCAAAUCUUCAACCUUUCUCUAGCUUUUUCUGACAUAUCCUAUGACAAUAUCUGUUUUAAACCACCCUCCCUCUUUUCAUUUUCAAUUCAAGAAACCCAGAACAACGAAUAUUUCCUUUCCAAAUACUGUCAGAUCCUCAAACAUUUGUACCUCUGUAUCUAUUCAUCUUUCAUACAAGUUAUUUUUCAGGAGCAUGAAUUUCAAUGAAAGGCAGUGGAAGCACACUAGUGGCUAAUAAAGUACACCAGUGGCUAAUAAAAGGCAGUGGAAGCACACUAGUGGCUGAUAAAGUACUCUCAAAUGUUAAAGAUAUCUGCCUAGUGAUCGAUGAUGCUUUGUCUGAUGGCAGCAAAUGAGCACUGCAAUCGAUCAUAUAGUCAUCCUGAUGAACCAAUCUAUGCUGAACCCACUUCCCUAGUUAGCUCACUAUCUUUUGUUAGGACUCCUCUUACCAAGUUAUUACAAUUGUAUCAACGCUAAAUUCUGUUGGUUGUGCAUUUCUUAGGGGCCCAUCUCCAUUUCUGCCAUGAUUAUUCAAAAGUGAGAAAGAAAUUAUAUAUCAUUCUGACAGGCAUGGAGAAGCUGGGCUGACAGCAUACGCAAUAAUAGUUUGUAGUCUAGGUGUCAUUGCUUGGUGUGGCAACAACAGAUUUAGGCUUGCAAUUUGAAAAAUUCGGCAGGUAAAUGAUAUGAAAUGCCUGAAAGAGAUGAUAUCAAAGAAAGAAACCAUAGGUGCACAAUAACCCGCGAAACAGUACAUAAAAGAAAGGAAUGAGCAAACCUUAUCUGUGAGAGCAAUGAUGCAUGCUGUUGAUGAUCCUUUGGCUUUCGUGCUCAUGUAAGCUUUCUCGAGCACUCUUACUGGAUCAAUGGAUCCUUUUGGCUCUUCUUGUAUAGCCACCAGUGAAUGAGACAUAAGCUCUCUAGCAUACUGUCCUGCAUCAACACCAAGAUCUGCCCAGCCACCAACACCAUCAGCCACUCCUAUGGCCUGUUCAUCACAUAUAAAAUGAGCAUCUUCUCCACCAGUUUCUUCCUUAUCGGGGUGUGGCAAGUAGCAUGAUCCAGAUAGCAGCUUCAGGGUUCUCUCACUUGGUUUGUUCCUGUAACAAGAAUUGUAUAAAAUAUAAAUAACUUACCAACCUACAUAGUUCGAUAUUUAACAUUAUUCAUCUUUGACUAAAUUUACAGAUACACAUCUAUGGUAAGAGUGAGAAGCACUCUCUAAAAAUAUCCCAGCUAAGGAGGCUAUUUACAGGGGAAAGGUCCCACCAACCAACAAAAUUCAAGUGGGAAAAAGGAUGGUUCCAUUUUAGCUGUUUUAUUGGCUUAGAUAUCUUCACAAAUAUUUUAGCAAUAAUAAAGCAAAAGAAAAAGACUAAAUGCCUGAUAAAAUUAGCAGACAACAAAGCUCACAAAACUAAAUUGAUAAUAAACCAUAGUAAAUUUUCAAUUAGUUUCAGAAUUAUCUAUCUCAUAAAGUGAAAACAUGCUAAUUCCACAUUUUUCCAUGUUUCACUAUUUCUUCCAUUUUGAUCUUCUUUGAAUAACAAAAAUUUCAAAUGAUUUGGUGAAAUUUGAUAACCGGGAAAUAGGGAUUCUAUUUUCUCCACGAUCAGUUCAGUAGCCAAUUAGUGGAAAAUAAGGAUAAAUCUGGGGUAUUCUCCUUAUUUUUUAAAGUAAAAUCAGCCUAACAAACUUGGGAUCCUCUUAAAUGUAAAAGUGAAAUUUCAUCUCAACCAUUGCUCAUAGAUUUUAAACAGAGGAAGCAAUGCAAAUAAAAAAAAAAAGAAAAAAGAAUUCACAUACACUUUUGCUAUACUUUCAAUUUCUGUUCCAUGUUUUAUGCAAGUUUAGGGGGAAUAUGUACCAGGACAGUAAGAACUAUUGAAUCUAAUAUGAGUUCUCAAAAUUAACACAAUUAUUGGCAUCUCCGUUGUCUAUAUAAAAACAGCAUCAAACAUGGGGCACCCCAAAAGAUGUAAUAUGAAGGAAUGAACUGUGUACAUUAAUAUGCUUAUUUUAUCUUAGGACACAGGCCAUUUCAAUUGUUUCUGGUGUAGGCCUUCAGACUAGCAAAUCCUCCUACAACCUUACAAUUAUGGGCUGCUUUCCCAACAGCAACCAAACUUUUUGUUUUCUAGUCUUUCCAAAUAAUAUUAGCUGCUCAUUUCUCUUCAUAUAUACAAAGCAAGAAUUGCACUUUAGGUGAUCAUGUUCUCCCCCAAACAGAAAAUGCAACUAACAUAAUAAGUGCAAGUCCCAGCCAAAGAGAACAUCCCAGUGCAGAAGGCUCCACCAAGUGCAGGUAUUGAGUGCAAAAUGCACUCAACCUAACCUAAAUUAGAGAUGAGAGUAUUAUCGCAAGUUAAACCUACACUUCCUAGAUGACUGGAAUAACCAUUCACUAAGAUAAAGCCAUCACUGAAAAGUCCCAUCUACAACGAGAAAUGGGAAAUUACUGACCAGUUUCCAUAUAUUAGGUGCAUAACUACAUAUGCAGUGUAUAAGUCAGCUAUGAACGAUUAACACUACAUUGUGCUUUCCUUUUCUUCUGGAGCAUAUAACCAUACAUAAUCAGAAGAAUAUAUAAUUAAGAUGAAAAACAUACUGGUCAGAGGAGCCCGUAGAGUUCUCAAGCUGCUGGUCCUGAACAUCACGCGGAGACCCAUCAAAAGAGACAUCAGGAGCUGCUCCAGAAGAAUAGAAGGAAGGCCAAAAAAAUGAAGAUUCCUUCAUCCACGGCUCUUCUCGAUUUACAAAACCGAACCUCCUCCCAACUUGUCCAAAAUUAUCAAGAUUUCCAUUGUGAAAAGAAGCACUGGCAAUUCCCAAAGGUCUCAAUUUCUGCACAUCCUUCAAGAAGGAAAGAUGAUGACUCACACGAGAAAGAGCUUGCGAGACCUUUCUGGAAAGAGAUGCCGCCGCUUGUUGAUCAGAUAUAUGAAACUGCGAGACAUUGCUGACGAGACUGGAGAAUGGGCGCAAAUUUUGGAAUCCAUUACUGCCUGUCGACAAGCUGCAGCUUUGCCGUCCCAUCAGGAACUCGAGCGACAUCUGAAGCGCCUUCGAACCCAAAAGAUAUGAAGAAGACGAUCGCAUAUUAUCCUAGUAAAAGAAGCAGUUUUGUCCCUUCGUAAUCCUUAAGCAGCCUACAAUGGCAAAUCUCAUAACUCACAAAUCAAAUUCGACUCUGAAUCCUGGGAGAAAAACCACCUUUUAGAUGGAGAAGAAAGUAAAAUCAUAGAAGAAACAGCUAGGGUUCCAAAAAGAGCAGGAUAGGAACUUCAUAAUUCAACAAAAUAUAUGUAAAUCAUCAAAAAGAGCCAUUUUUAUCUCUAUCCCCAAACAUUCGCCUGUCCACAAUAUAAUUUCUCAUUUCACAUACCAAUUAUCGGAAAAAAUACACCAAAAACUAAGAAAAACAAGCAAAAUUGUAUAGAUUUCGCAUUCUGAAUCCAACCUGGAAGCCCAAAACCUAAACUAUUACAAAGAGCAAGCGAUGAAAGAAAGAAAUGACAAAAAAGGAAAAGAUCCAGCACCUCCGGGCGAUUUCUCCACUUCUUCCGCAGGAAACCCUAACCCUAGAAAUCGAAAUAGAUAGUGGAAAGAGAAAGUGGGGGAUCGGAGAAGAGGAGAAGAGUACGCGGAGCGCGAUUCUCCGAUUCCUUCUUUCUCCCACCUGGCGACGGGGAUUAGAUCGGAUUAGGGUUUUGCGACAGAGAGAGAGAGAGAGAUAGAGAGUUCGGGGCCUCUCUUCGAACGCAAGCGUGGAAUUUGUUAAAUGGAUCGUUAUUGGUCAUUUUUAUCACUUGGGCUCUUAUUGGGCCAAAACAGGGCCAAAUUAUAUUACAAGAACUUUACUGCUUGGUUUUGUGGGUUUUCAAUUUCUAAUUUGGUUAAAAGUUUUUUUUAAAUUAGUUUUUGAGUUUGAGUUUGAAUUUGAAUUUGAACAGGGCAUAGGUUAGUUUAACUUAAAUCACAAAAAAUAAAGUAAAUAUUAAUUUUAAUUAUAUUUACUUAUGGUAUUAGACAAUUUAGCAUAUACUAGAUUAUGGAUCAAUUUAAUGUAAGAAAUUUCAUAUAGAUCUAAUUUGAAUAUAUUAGAUUGGAUACGAUAUAUAUACAUGCCAAAAAAUUAAAAAAAUAUGGCUGCGCGAAAAUUUCUGUGCAUCCACUAUAUAGUUCUGUGAUAUAGAACUAGGGAUGCAAGCCGGACAGAUUUGACGGUAGGAGACCUGCCUUGCCUCCCGCCCCACUUUCUUGACGGGAUAAAAUAUAUAUUCAAUAACCUGCCCACCUAAAAAUUCGUUUCGACACUCAUUUUGAGCUCGCCCUCUAAUCCUUAUUUUUAAAUUUUUUAUUCAAGUACAAAUUAAAUAAUAUUAAUUUUUUAUUGUUAUAAUAAAAAUUAAAAAAAACCAUAAAAGCAAUUACCUUUUAAAGCACAUUUAAUUUCAAAAUAGCUAAUAUUUAAAAUUCAAAUAAUAUUCUUAAAAAUUUAAAAAUUAUCUUAUAAUUUAAAUAUUAUUCGGACAAAUUUAGGAUAGAAUUUGGUACGCAGAUUUGGGACGAAUUGCGGGUAAAUUAAUAUUUUCACGAUCUCCUACCGCAAAUCUAUUUCAAGUCAUAAAAUUGUCAUUUUAAAUUAAUUACCCAACCUUUUAAAAUUUUGCUGUUACUACUCAACAUAUCAAUUUUCUUUAAUUUAAGUCAUGUGGUGGCCAUUCAGAUACAAAAUUAAAGAUAAUUAAUAAAUUUAUAGGUACAUAAAUUACAUAAAAUGGACUAAUUAAACCUGCUAGAGAGAGAGAAAAAAAAAAAAAAAGCAUUCAAUUUUGAAGUUAGAUAAUCACUAGUCGGCUCAAAUCUAUCAAAAAGUUAAAUAGUAAAAUCGAAAUUUUUAAAGAUUAGAUGGCCAGAUCUAAAAGGGCAAUAUUUUUACCUAAAUUUUAGGUUUAUAUAAUUCUCCACAGGUUACAAAAUAAGGAGUGUUCCUAAUUUGUAUGCAAAAAGUUUGCAGGUACAAUGGAUCGUAAUGUAGCCAAAAAGAAGGAAAAAGAGUGGCAGCGAGAUUCAGCAUCAAACAAAGCUGCUAAACAGAGGAAUGACGAGAGAAAACCCAACAAAUGAAAUAAAAAGCACUUUCUCAGGAUCUGCAGGUCCGAUAGAUCUCCGCUCGCAUCAAGUCGAUCGGGCCGUGGUCGAGCGUGUAGCGUUCGGGACCGAGAUAGAUACCGGUCUUCUCCAGAAGAUUCAAUCCUUCGUCUCUACCGUAUCUUGACGAGUAUAGCUUCAAGUAUUCAAUGUCCUGCAGACCAUCAACCAAAAGGAGAAAGUAAAAAACCUAAGUAGCCAAUCAAAAUGGAAAGCCACAAUAAAUCUUACAUUGUAAUAUCUUAAGGGAACUGCACAAUAAGUCAUCCAUCGAGACAUCGAGAUUUUAUUUAGAUGAAUAGUUAUGGAUAAACAGGCGCGCGCUUACGGGAUAGUAGUACUGCAGUGAAUAGUACACAGACGACAUACUGUAUUUCAAUGGAGGUUUCAUCAAUGGACGACUUACGGUGCCUCGAUGAUGUUAAUUUAUCAUUGGGAUGGGCUUGUGUUCUUUGAUACAAUAUUCUGCACGCAUGAUUGAGCUCAAUCUAUUGGCAACAGAGUAAAACUAAAACAACAAGAGGAUUUUAUCGUGGCUAUUGUUAAAUUAUAUAAAACAAUUGUUUUUCUCCAAUAGUCUAAGCUGUUAGAGUACGGUAUUUUUAAUAUUUACAUUCAGCACUCGUCCUCACGUUUGGGCUCGAAGCUUUUUAACAAGCCAAAGGCAUAAACUUAAUUUAAUAAAAGAAAAUUAAAUAACAAUAGGAACCUAAGGAGACUCGAACUCAUAAUCUCCUACUCUGACACUAUGAAAGCGUGGAGAAAAGAGCAUGCCGCUAGUAUUUAUAAACGAUGUAGAGUAGUCAUGUGACUCAAUUAAUAAUAUAUCAUAAUACAUAAAGUAUAUAUACUCUAAGAGCUAUAUUACCUGCAUGCCACUGAGAAGCCGUUCCAGCCGAGCUGAAGCAACUGGUUCAUGUGAUGAAGAAAAAACUUCACCAGGAUAGAACAGCACUCCAUCACCAGGGGGAAGACCUCGUCGGAAUCUUAUCUGCAUUGUUCGUGAAAAAUGUUUACAGAUUUCAACCAUCUCCUACUAAUUUACUAUAGGAUAGAAGUAUGAAUCAUGUCAACUGAAGGAAACAUCGAGAUAGGCACAGUGGAUUAAACAAAUUGGACGGGUGGAAGAAAGGCAUGUGCUUUGACCACUCAGACACAUUUUAUCUGGCUCAACCAGCUUGAAAAAUUAUUAACCCAAUCAACUAAAGGGCACCCUAGAAAUUGUGGAACUUUUGAGACUAAGCUGAUUGCUUGAUCACUACCGAUUUCAGACACCAAUUAGGUGUUAUGACCGAAAGAAACUUUGAUGACGAGUCUUAGAGCAAUAUACGUAAACUCUAAAAGGGUCAUUCAUUGAUACUGCGCAUGCAACUGAGCUAAAUACUUGUUUACAAGCAUUACGUUAUAGUGUUUACCGCUAUUAUCUAUUAUUAUUAGGUUUCCACAAAGCAUCCAUUAGGGGAGGCGAGGUUGGGAGAUGCUAAAGAGAAGGACAAAGGAAAAAUUUCGGAAGAACAAGAUAUCAUAAUGACAAAAUUUAAAUACUGGAUAGUACCUCAGCACUAGGCACUGUGGCCUUCUCAUAACAGUUAGCACCCCAAUAAAGAAAACCUGUACCGCCUUCCUUCCAGACUCUCCACAUCACUGCACGGUGUUGCGUGCCACGCAUCCCGAGAUGCCAAUUUGGGUGGGGAUCAGAUGGACCCAAGCAAACGUAAGUCCACCAUUCCUACACUUGGAAAAGGAGACUUCAGGAAAACACAAAAUUAAAAGCAUGAAAGCAUAAAAUAAUGAGAAUAGACAAACUAGUAAUAACCAUAGGUAAACCUGACUAAACAUGAAAAAGGUGUUAUAUAAGAAAAAUGAAACACUGCCUAACUAGUGUGUGACAGUUUAAACAAACUAUACUCUUUACUCUUUAGUCUUAACUUCAAGAAAAGAGCACAUGAUCUAGCAUAAUUGGUGUGACUUACGACAGCAAUGCAUAAUUCAUAAUAAUUUUCCAAAUAUGAAUGUUGUAAAAAACAGGAAAUCCAACAUAUAAAUUCAUUUACAAAGGGUAUUAGCCCAAAAGAUAGGAUAGUAUUGUCAAACAAUCACAAGCCAAUGAAAGCAAAUGCAAACUUUCCACUAGAUUCACAAUCUGUUGGAGCAUUCAAGGUAUCCAUUAAUGGUGCAAUUGAGGAAAAUUCAAUCCAGUUCAGUGAAACAACAGGUUGGUCAUAGAUGGAUCCAGACAUGCUUCUAGAACGCAAUGGUCAUACGUGCUUGGUUAUCUGGGAAUUAUAAAAUAUGUGAUGUCAAAGUCACUCAGUUCAUCAGAAAAGAUACAUCAACCCUUUUUCCAUCAAUAUGAACACAAUGGUAGGCUCACACUAUUUCAACUUUCCGAAAGAAAAUAUGUCAAUAAGAAUUUUCUGGAAGGCGUAAAUGAAAACAACUAUGAGCAUGCAAUAACAAAAAGGAAAAAAAAAAACCUUCAUUAUCAGUAAGUAUGCAGUGUGGUUUUAAUUAUAUCCUCGUCUACCCUUUUUCCCUUUCUUUUUCUUUCUCUCUCUCUCUCUCUCUCUUUUUUCUCUAGUGUGCUGGAGAGAGGAGGUGGGGAUUCUGCUUUGCAAGACUAGAUCCUAACUUGGCAAUCGGAACCAAAUCCUGGCAGUGCAAAUUCAGCAAUAUGGCAAUCGCAAUUAAUACAACAAUCAUAAACAUUUAUCAUUGCUUCCUACUAAAUACUUUGGAGUUCUCUUAUAUGCACUCAACAUAAAUAGAACAUGCUAUGCCUUGAUGGUUUGAGAGCCACUAAAUCUACCAAAGUUGGUAAAUAUGUGUUUGAGUUAGACGAGUCAUAACAAAUCUUGCAUAUUACUCGUAAUAGAAAGAGCCUACUUACGUAUUGCAUGCUAGGUAACAUAACCACUACAAUGAGCUUCUUGGAGCAGGUGCUACAAGCAUGUGAUAGGCCUAUACCAAAAAUAUGAUAAAAGUCUCAAGGUCUCGAGAAUGAUGAUAAAAUAUCAAAUUGGCAUUGCCAAGUAUCAAGAUAAAUUACAGUUGACACCUGAAAACAAACCAUAUUGUUGACAAUUCAUUAAAUGAAAAGAAAUCAGAUUUCCCAACUUACUUCACCGUUAUCUGGCUGAAGUUCAGCAACAAUAUCUCCCACUAAGUCCUCUCUAGUUCCAAGAACCCACUCACUGUACAAAGAAUAGCAAUAUAUCAUUUGUGAUAUGAUAAACAGUAGUAACUACAAGGAUUAACAUACUGUGCACAACAUUUAAGUUGUUCAGCUAUAAAAUCAAUUUUCAUAUCCGCAUGCAGAUUUAAAGCUAUACUGCUUAUAAUAGAGGGAGAUUUGUUAGAGGUUUUAUUCCAAAAUUGCCAACUUUUUUCAAUUCUGAUAUCACUCCUCUCCAGAUAAUCUCAUCCAUUAACUAUAUAAUCUAUCACUUAAAAACCAUAGAUUUCAAAGUUCUAGUUUUAAAAUAAUUUUAAUGAAUUAAUUUUCAAAAAUUGGACCUAAUCUAAUGGAUGGCAAAAAAUGCAUCUGUCGAAUUACAUUCCAAAAAUACCCUUGUAAGACUAAGCCUGAAACAUUAUCGGCAAAUAAAUUUUUCUUGAUUAUAGAAACUAACAAUUCCUGGUUUUUUACUCAUGAGUGGAAUUCGUGCUGUGUGUGUGUAUAUCCGUUGUAUAUCCGUUGCUUCCCCUCCACUCCCUUCCGUUCCCCAUUUUUGUCACAUGAGCCCAAUGCACCGUACACCACAAUCAACAAUUUUAUUAUAGAAUCAUAAAUUCAAUUUUUUUAAAAUUUAAUUUAUGACAUAUUUUAUGUCAUUGGGAUGACAAACUAUUUAAAAGUAUGGAUGUAAAACAAAAUUUAAAUUCAAAAAAUUCUCUCUAUCCGUUGCUGCUUCCCCUCCCCUCCCUUCUGUUCCCCGUUAUUGUCCCAUAAGCCUAGUGCACCGUACACAACAAUCAACAAUUUUCUUAUAGAAUCUUAAAUAAAAAUUUUAAUUUUAAUUUAUUGAUAUAUUUUAUGCCAUUUGGAUGACAUACUGUUAAAAAGUAUGAAUUUAAAAUAAAAUUGAAGUUAAAAAAUUAUAAAACUUAUUUGUGUUUUCUUAGAUGUGUGUGACAUGCAUUGCAUGUCCACUUAGCUAGUACAGCUAAAGUAUUGCAUUCCAUUUUCAACAGAUUUGUACAGCAUAGGCCAAAAUACAAAGUUUCAGCUGAUUCCUACAUAUGAAAAGUAAUGUCAGACCUUGAUCAGGUUUCUAUUUGAAAGAACAGAUAUAAAUAAAUGCCCAAAAAUAAUUUGAUCUUUAAGACAUUAGUUAGAUAGUUUUUUUAUCAAGAUUAAAACUCAAGAAUAAAGGUUGAAAGUUCAUAAUACGACAAAUAGUUAGUUAACUUUGGUUCAAGUUCCAAGGGUUCAGAUUACUUCAGACAUCCAAUUGCUCAGGUUCAGGUCAUUUCGCAUUUUGGGUACGCAGGUUCAGGGUUUCUCAUGCUGUUUCUGAUUCGAUUGAGUCUCGGGUUUGGCUCGAGUUUCAGUUAAGGCUCGGUUUUUUGACCACUUUCCAAUUCUACUCGUCGUUUACUACCUGUAUUGGCAUUCUAUAGAAGAGACCAGUGGGUAAGACAGCAAAUUUGCUCUUCCCCUAACAAAAUCUUAUCUAUGCAUAUUAGCGCCCUUUUUAUGUUACCUAGAGCUUAUCUAUUUAUCAUGUGGUGAGUUCAACUUAAUGCUGAUUUGAUUUGAGUGGUCUUCAUGAUCGUCACAAUAGGUCAUCUACGAUUGCAGCAACCAAAAUAUCAAAUGAAAACCCUAGUGCUGUCGUGAUAUAGAGUACUUUUUGUCAAGUCCCAGAAGAAAUGUAGCUAAUAACGAGAUAAGAAAUUUUGAUGAAGCAAAAUUUUUUGGGAGGAGCAAAGGAAUAAGAAGUAUACCUUGUACAGAAUAUUUGAGUAUGUGGUCGAAGAAUGUUUGGAACUUUGACAAAGGCCUCAAAAGUGUUCGGAGCAAGAUCUGCACCACUUGGACCUACAUGAAGAGCCAUCGCAAGUAAAGAAAUAUUAUCAAUAGGUAGAGUAUGCCAAUACUUGUUAGGGAUUUACUACUAAUAACUAGGCACAAAGAAUUGUACAAACCAAUUCUGCCUAUAAGGACAUGAAACGAGGAGGUCCUAUCUAAUACUUAAAGGGACCACCAUUCAACUCAAUAAGCAUAACUUUCUUACUUUCUAAACUACAUCACUCCAUGAACAUCAAUCCUACAAUUAGUUGAUAUCUGCCAACAUGAUGAAUGGCAUCAGAAAAGAAAACAACAAGAUGUAAAUUUAUUCUCUUCAUUGCAAGUUUUCAGUAGUAGCAAUUAAAUGAAAAGAUUAUGAAAAGUUAUGAUGGGCCUUUUCUUUAUGGAGGACAUUAAGUAAGAUAGAGUUGAUGAGAACACUGAUAUUCAUGUUGCCAAACCCAAUUAGUUAGGACUCUAAUUUCUACUUUAGUGGUAAUUAUAGUAUUGAGAGUAGUACGAGGGGCAUGCUUUUAAAUAAGAUUUCUUCAGUUUUUUUCCUCUGAAAAAUAUGUUAGAGGAAGUAGGUUGCCACAGCAGUUGCAGAUAAGCUGUAUAAAAUAUUUACCACUGUAAUAAGUUGUUAGAACACGAGCAUCAGGUGCAUAAGCCCGUAUCUCACUAGACAUGCUACGGAUCAAAUCAUACUGCUCCAAAUUCACUGGCUGAAAAUUCAAGAAUAUGUAUUAGCUAAUCAUCAAGAAAGUCGGCAAUUGCUUGAUGUAACAGCACUGCAUAUGCUAGCAUACAAUGCCACAAGGCAAAGCCAUAAAAGAGAGAUAGCUAGGGUAAGAGUUUAAAAGCAAACAAAGCAACAUCUCCUCAACCAAAAAAACAAAAGAGUAGCAAAAUCAUCUCACUGUUUUAACUUGCCUCAAUUAAUUAUAUUCUGUGAAAUCAAGCUAACCACCGACAGAGCAUAAUAGACAAAAUAAUGAAUUUUCGAAUAGCAUUUAUAUACCUCAUCCCACAAAUAAAAAUAAGCUUUUCUCCAAUGAUCCUUUGACUUCAAUAUCUCAACCUCCUUUUGCAGGGCAACCUUUGCACUGUCAGUGCUGUUGCAUGUGAAAGUGCAAAUUUUUACAUCAUAAAACCAACCUACAGACGAUAGAAGAAAUAACGAAGAGGAGGCAUACCAUGAAAGUAUAGGUGUGUAUGGUACAGCAUACGCUGCUAAUCUUGGAUCCGAAUAAUAUUCAUCAGCUCUUGGAUGAUCAGCUGAAAAGGCAAACGAAACAAAAAAAAAAGAAAAGAGAAAUAUUUUAUGCAUAGUACAGCAACCAAGUUGUGUGAAGAUAAACAAAAAUGUGAAUACGGAAAAGGAGACUUCUAUAUAACUGAAAUGUUCGUUCAGCAUAAAAGCAGAACCUGGCCAAGGGCAAGUAUACGCCAAAAUUCUCAUGCUAUCACCCCAUCUACAAAAAAAAGGGCUAAUUCUGUACUGCAGAAGCCACUUAAAGUGAUGGUCUAAUGCAUCAUACCAGCCUUCACUACCAUGCUCCAGACAAAAGCGAUCCUCUAUCACAGUUUCAGAUAUCUGAAUUAGAGUUAAAGGGAAAACUGUUUCCUCUGAGGCUCCGAAUUGUGAAUUCUCAUCAGUUAUUGGGCAUGCUGAAGUCCUGAUAGUAUCAUUAUGACAUCCAAUGUACUUUACAAGCACAUCGUGGGAUUGUACUCUCUGAUAGAGGCUUAAUGCCAUAUCCCUGUAGUUGAUAUUUUUUUUUUUUAGAACUUUCCAGAAAGAGACUCCACUAUGUUUAAUAAUCUGGAAUGUAAAGAUAAAUGACUGCUUAGAGAAAGGCAUCAUCACAGAAAGAUAUGAAAUAUAAAAAUGCACAUUGAAGAACUCAAACAAGUUUACUCUUACAUGUAGCUGUGUUUAGUGACUCACAAGUUACAAUAAAACAAAGAAAAAUACUAUUGAAAGAAAAGUGACUUCAUAGCUGAUAAUCAGCAUAGAGUCUUCAAUAGGAACUCUCAAAUGGUUUAGGUAUGAAAUAUAUACUUACAGAUUAAUCAUAGCGUGCAUAAAAGCAGUAGAAGCAACCACUUAUUUGACUGUAUAUACAGAUAUAGGCUCUUUUCCAUCCAGCAUCAACCAUUUCCACAUACUGCUUGGGUAUAUCUAAUGAGCACAUGAGGAUGACUCCUAUUAGCAUGCAUUUUAGAAAGAUAAAAGCGGCUUAAGCAUGAAGAUGCUUAGGUACUUUUGACACAAAUACUGCAUGUGUCCUUGUAAGUUGUAUUCUGAUAAUUUAUCAUUUGCAAUUAAAAUAUUUUUCCUGAUUAAGUUACUACAAACUUUGGCAUGGGCAUUACUGUGUUUCAAUAUCGUACAAGAAAUUAAAUUAGGCCUCAAAAAGUUCUCGUUCUUCGUAUUGUUAAAUUUCUGCAACAUCAGUUUUCACUACUUACAUGAACCACAAUGCAACCACCUUCUGCAAAGGAAAUAUGCAAGUGAUAGGCCACUUGUUUAUAUUUGCUGCUUCAGAACAUUGACUAGUAUAGCACAGAGAGGGAAACUAAGACAAACGAGAAAGUUGAGAACUCAGCACCCUAGGAAUAUUCAAUGCGACAAUGAAAAAGAAUGCAAAUAUCAAAUAUCAUAAUACUUGCACUGGAAAUAACCAUCUCCAGCACGAAAAAGAGUUCAUAUCACAGGAUACACCAAAUACAGCAGGAAGCGAUGGGGUCAGCGGAAGAGUGAAAUCCCAGACGGUGACAGUAAAUUUUAAACGAACUGAAAUAUUGGUGAAAAUAUCCUCAUCCAUCAUGUCUCCUGAGCCAUUAUCUUCCUGAAACUCCUGAAAUGUCGGUAGCAAAAGUAUCCUCCUCAAUGCAUCUCUAGCAGAUUUAGCUCUUUCAACCUAAACAUGAUAAAAGGAAAUCACAAGGCUUUUCUAUAAAACUGGAUCAAGAAUAAACAUUUAAGUAACAGCAAAAGCACCACUUCCUCCGGUGGCUUUCCAUCUACAGGUUCAACGACAUCAAGGCAAUUUUUUAAUUCUCUGUACAGUUGAUACUUAUCAGCUUUAGCUAGAGAUAGCUCUGACAAUCUGCAAUUAAUUUUAAAAAGAAAACUAAUUCACUAACUAUAGAAGGUAAAAUAAUUCAAAAACAAGUUCAAAAAUUAAAUAAGCUACAAUGCAGCUACAAAGAAAAGGCAGACAGGGUAGACAAUCACUCUGCAUCUGUCUUCACGGCAGUAAUAAAAAUCUGACCCUCAUAUUGUCCAGGAGGUUGUCCACAAGGAACAUCUACUGAGACCCAAAUGGAUGUUGUUUCGCUGUACAGAGGAAAAGAAAAAACAAAUAAUUGACAGAAAGACAAAAAGGACAGCCAAACAACAAGUAUCACCUAGAAUGGAUAUUAUAAAGGUAAAAACAAAGACCUUAGCUGAACUUUGACAAAUCUGAUUUUACAGCCUAGCUUUGCUAUGCUUUUGAAAUGGGUAACUGAACUUUAAGUCCUCAAAAGAUUUGACUUUUAGAUAAAAUUGUAUGAAGAUCCCUUGACUAUAGACCGUUUUUGGAAGGGCAACUAACUUCAUAUUUUUCUUCUCAACUCUUUAGUUGUUUAAUUUGAGAAAUUUUCCUUAAUCGAGUUGGAGAUUCGUUAAUAUUGACAGCUCUGUCAUCCAUUAAAAAUAUAUGAAAUUUGCAGUUCCAUCAGUUGAAAAAACAUUUUAAACAAUUAAAUUUGAUAGAACCAUUGAUACGUUUAACAAAACCCCCAAUUUAAAAUAUUGAAAAUAACUUAAGUAAAAACAAACCGGAA
rnacentral:lncRNA from 1 species